rnacentral:lncRNA from 1 species
CGUCGUCGUCGUCGGUGAUCCGGACGAGCCGACGACGCCUUGGCGCUUGGCUGCUCUCUGCCGGCAGCGUCGGCGCAGGCGAAGGAUCUGCUGCCAACGGCCUUUUCCCUGCCACUCUCUCCUCGGUGGUCGGGACGGGGCGGGCCUGGUCCUCCUCACUGCUGGUGUAACGAGUACACCGAGCAGCGUCUUCCUCCGACGUAUCUUCCCCCGCAGGAUUCUCCAUCCCAGGUGCCAGUGACACAUACACUGUGCACCGGUCAACAUCUCCGAUCUGCAAAAGUAACAAAGACAAGUCAGCAGCAGACAAUAACAAAUGCUAAGGAGAAAUAAUCAGUAAGAUACCUUAGGUGAUGGUCGCCCUAACUUGAAGGCUUGCACCCGAUCACUACCACGGACGAAGCCCCCGUCCGCAAAGUUGAACAACUCGUUCAACAGCUGCUGCACCUCUGCUUUCUCCAAGACCUCAGGCCGCAUCCUGGUCGGGUCCAGGCUUCCGGCGUACUCGUACGCCGAGUGCACCCUCUUCUGGCAGGGCAUCACCUGACGACACACAAAGUUGCCGACCACGCCUAGCCCGUCCAAGCGCGACCAGUCGAUCAGCUUCAUCAGGUCCGCCACUUGGCCGUCGAACUCUGGGCGGUCGGUCCAGCUUACCCUCUUCUCGGGGAUGUACCCCACGUCGCAGAACGUGAAGCUGCUCGGUUCUUCCCUGACGUAGAACCACUUCCUGUACCAUUCGGUUAGGGAAGUGUUCCAUGGACAGUGCAGAUAACGGUUCUUCAUCCCGUCGCGAAGAUUGAGGUAUACUCCACCUGCAAUCUUGGAGCCUCCAACCGCUCCCUUCUUUCUUAAACAAAAAAGAUAACGAAAGAGAUCGAAGUGCGGCUCUAUGCCAACAUAGGCCUCGCACAGAUGGAUAAAAGUGGAGAUGAGAAGGAUUGAGUUCGGGUGCAGAUUGCAAAUCCCGAUCUCAUAAUACAAAAGAAGACCCUGAAGAAAAGGAUGAACAGGAACCCCAAAACCCCUCUUAAGGAAAUCCUCGAACACUACGAUCUCACCGGCGCGGGGGUCGGGGUAGCUCUCCCCCUCCGGCGCCCUCCAGCCGCCGAGCUCCGGGCUGUGCAGUAGCCCCAUAUUCACGAGGUCACCGAGGGACUUUGUGGUGCUGCGGGAUUUUUUCCAUUCCUUGGCCAUCAGCUCGGCCCUCUUCUUGGAGUCGCUCUUCGCCAUUGGAGAUGCAGAAGUGGUUUUGAGCUAGGAGGGUGCAGGUGGUUGAAGAAGGCGAGAGCGGAAAGCUUGAAGGCAAUGGCAGGGUGAGCAAUGCGGGCUUAAUGUCAGGAUUUUAUAAACCGCAACUCCACCCCCCACUUCCCGCAUUCUUGGGAAGUGGGCGGGCCAUACGGCGGACGCGGCGUUUCAGUUUUCAAUGAUUAUCGACAAUUAAUGCGGCGGAGUUUUCGUACAAAUUGAUGGUUUCCUUUUCUCAAACCGCGCAAAGGGCGGCUGCACAGUUGCCAGGCGCAACUUUUCAUGUAGCCAUCUGACAUCCCGUCAGGAGGUCUCGUCACAUCAACUUUUAUGUGGUAAAUUUUUUCAAAACAAGCAGACAAAAAAUGGUAGAGAGUCAACAAUCCGAGGACUGCACCGACCACCGAGAUGCUCGGGGACUGGUCGCCCAGUCUAUCAACUCGGAACUUCAAGGACUGCACCGACCACCGAGCACUUGAUGCUCGGGGACUGGUCGCCCAGUCUAUCAACUCGGAACUUCAAGGACUGCACCGACCACCGAGCACUUGAUGCUCGGGGACUGGUUGCCCAGUCUAUCAACUCGGAACUUCAAGAAAUGCACCGACCACCGAGCACUUGAUGCUCGGGGACUGGUCGACAAAUUUGUUGGGACUGCACCGACCACUGAGCGCUUGAUGCUCGGGGACUGGUCGCCUAGUCUAUUAGUUCGGGAAUCAGUGGGCUGUAUUGAUCUCCGAGCAUUGUACACGCGGGGACUGGUUGACCAGCUCGUCAAAUUGAUAAGUCUAUUCGAUGGUAAAUGAGCAUGAGAUGCUCGGAGACUGGAUAAUUUUAAUUUUUUAGACCUUGCUACAAGGCUCAUACUUCGCCUUCCAGCAAGCUCGGGGACUACAUCGGUACGAUGCAUCUGGCGAUGCAUUUCAGUUUCAAAACUACUUUGAGGAAUUUCCUUUUGACCCUGGCACCACGUGCCUACGUCACUUACUACCAGGCUCGGGGACUAAGUGGGCACACUUGACCUUGCGGUGAAUAUGCUUGCUUAUUUUUUGAGGAUCCGUACUUUUCACAAAAGUAAAGUGGGCACACUUCGCCGGAAAAGAAAUAUUUUUUCUCAAGAGCACCAUGCAUUCUUCGAAUAAUUGGCUUCUUCCAUGAUGAUAUUGAUCAAAUAUGUUUAGAUUUGGUCCGAAUACCGCGCAAUCGUCUGGACAAUUUUCAUGCUGAUUGAAGAUGUCAAAGUUUCAUUGGUCGAAGAAGCUCAAGACGGCGUGUUACUUCACAAUACAUGGUGCUCGGGGACUAGCUGUGGGGGUAUAAACCCCUAUACCCUUACGGCUAGACUUGGGCCAGGAGGCUUGGCCCAUUACGAGACAAGUUCAAGGCUUGAUCCGACAGCUCGGAGUUUCGCGUAAGGAAACAAGACGUGGAGAUCAAGCAGAAUUCUAGUCGGUUAGAAUAGGAAUUGAUAUCGAACUAUCUAUGACAAUUGUAACCGACUAGGAUUAGUUUCCAGAUCUCUGGACUAUAUAAGGAGAGGCAAGGGACCCCCCUAGGACAUCAUAUUCUUUCAACACAAAUCAAUACAACCAGACGCAGGACGUAGGUAUUACGCCAACUCGGCGGCCGAACCUGGAUAAAAAGCUUGUCCGUGUCUUGCGUCACCAUCGAGUUCGUAGUUUACGCACCGUCUACCGAUAAACUACUACCGUGGAUAUACCCAAGGUAGACUGCUGACCAGCUUUCGUCGAAAACAGAAAUAUAUAUUCCUAUAGAACAUUUUUGGCGAAAAAAAUUGAAGUUAAUAAAUGCUUUCUCAUAUUUUCGAUAUCAUUUCAAACAUCUUGUAGAAGAGUUUUUCUGAUGAGUUCUGAUGUCCACCGUUUUCCACGUGUGGAAGAACUAUUAAUCUCGUCAUGUGUGCUUUCAAAGUAUUUAGGCUUUGUUUAGAUCCUAAAAGUUUUGGAUUUUGACACUGUAGCACUUUCAUUUUUAUUUAACAAACAUUAUCUAAUUAUGGAGUAACUAGACUUAAAAGAUUUGUCUCAUGAUUUUCAGACAAAUUGUGUAAUUAGUUUUUAUUUUUAUCUAUAUUUAAUGCUCCAUGCACGUGCCGCAAGAUUCGGUACGAUGGAGAAUCUAGUUUUUGGGUGAACUAAACAAGGCCUUAUUGUAUAUAAAAAGUCUUGUGCUUAGCUAAAGCCACAUGUUAGCCUAUACGUCAGAGCAGCGAAAAAUCAACCAAAUUGUAAUUAGGUUUGACCUUUUCGUAUGUCAAAGCAUUUACCUACGCAGGCUGGGGUGAUUUGGAGCCUACCGUACCGUUGCAGCAUGGUGGUGAUUAAAAGAUUCUUAGCUUCGGUUUUUAAGUCCAGGUGUUGAUGCUAAAAGCAUGCCUUUUUUUUAUUGGCCUGUUGGACGUGAAGGAGAGAUUGCAAGGAGGUUGCAUGGUUGGUUUGCCAAGUCAGGAAGCGCUAGCUCAUUUUUGACAUGUUGCAUUAGUGUUUGUUCCAACUUCCAAAGGUGCAUUGUUAGGGUGUGCUUAUCUUGUAGCUGCAACAGAUACUGCAUACUUUUAGCGGAAGAUGGCACAUAACUACCCAGAGAACAACAUCACAAUUUCAGCAUUGCCCAACGGGCAACAACAACUGAAUCCAAUUUCGACGCGCCACAAUUUAGCUGUAGCGAAGUAUGGCUACGAGCCAAACAGUGCAUCAUGUGCAAAGCUAUAUGGAGUACAUGGUCAACGAUAAACAAAUUAUUCAUGAUGUCACAUGCAUCUUAGUAUGCUUAAUUUGUUUCUAUAUAAUAACUCUAUUUCGAAGUUCCACAAUCACGCUUUCUGGCUUUGUACUUUUGAAUCUUUAUUAUGUUUUUACCUGUUUAGAUUUGAAAUUUUUUAGCUUAAAGAGGAAAAUUUUUAUGGAAUUGGGGUCUGGAAACUAAACGGGGCUAAAAAAUUUUGGGGCCAAAAUUUUGGGCUGCAGGGCCUGCUACCGUGCACACACUCUCAUAGAAACCUACCAAUGACAACUGCAACUGCAUGCAGCCCAAGUUGUGUCAGAAAAUUUUUUUACCAAACUAAACACGUAAAAUUUUUCGCGUGCGUUAGACUUCUGAGCUAAAGUUCUGACCAUAAAAAUUUUUACCACUUUGGCCAAAAAAAUUCAAAUCUAAACAGGGCCUAACAUUUCUGCAGUAGGAGUCUUCGGCUCCUCCUGAUUCCUCAAAAAUGAACUCUAGAAAAAAGAUCUAACAACGGUAUAUAAAGAAGAAAUGAAAAAAAAGAGGACACAAAGAGAUAAAGCCAUGCGUUUUAAUUUAAGAAAAAAAAAGAAUAAACAAAAGGCAAUCAAAGUUCAAAUUUUGAACCCGGUUCCAACUUUUGCUCUCUCUCUUUUUUUAGGCCGUGUUUAGUUCCUCAGCGAAAAAAUUUCGCGACACUGUAGCACUUUCGUUUGUUUGUGGUAAUUAUUGUCCAACCAUGAACUAACUAGGCUCAAAAGAUUCGUCUCGUCAAUUUCGACCAAACUGUGCAAUGAGUCUUUAUUUUCGUCUAUAUUUAAUACUCCAUACAUACAUCUAAAGAUACGAUGUGACGAGAAAUUUUGAAUUUUUUUAGGUUUUUGGGUGGAACAAGGCCAUAGAGAAGGGGGGAGCCGGCGAUAUGAAGCAAAGCCCCGGGCCCGUUCCAUGAUGGAACCGUUCGCCUCCGCCUGGUGCUACAGCGGUCGCACGCACGCGCCCACGACGACCCGUUAAACAAACCAAAAAACGUCCAAACCACCAAAAACCUCCGAGAAAACAAAUCCACCCCGGCGCGGAGCUGCCCUCCUCGCUGCCACCUCCUUCCCUUCCCUUCCCUUCCCUCCCUCCCUCCCCGAGCCCCCCGUUAUAUCGCCACCACCGGCUCCGCUACUGCUCGUCACGUCUUCUCCCUGCCCGCCCCCCAUCCCCCUCCGGCUACCCGGCGGGCGCGGCGCGGCGCGUUCUCUGGCCGGCCGGUUCCUGCGUCGGUCGGCGGGCGGGCGGAUGUCGCUGUUCCGGCGGCUCUUCUACCGGCGGCCGCCCGAUGGGCUCGUCGAGAUCUCCGGCAACAUCCUCGGUGCGUUCGCUUUCUCGGCCCAGUACUCGGCAAUCUUGCUAUUUUAGCUGGGUGCGUUUGUGCGAACCUGCUCGCUCGCGCAGUCGCGCUGGGGGCUCUGUUGGACCUUUUCGUCGGGGGUUUCUUGGAAGUAACGCGUCCCGCGGCACCGACACGAGUCACUCGUACGCGCCUCUUCUCGGCUUUACUCCCCAUUUCUCGAGGGGGGAAAUUAUAUUACCAAAAAAAGGAAGGAAGGUGCGUUCGUGUUGAUCUCGAGGUGCAGAUUUGCUUGCACUUGCAGACUUGCAGAGUGGAGAUAGCUUUGCCCAGACUUUGCGGCCUUUUUGUGCCGGUGGGUUCGGUUUGUGUUUUGACUUGACGAAGGGAGCGGAAAGGCGAUCGCUUAGCUGUUUCUAGAUUAUGAGCUUGACCAAAAUAGGGACACGGGAUUGACCAGAGUAGUAGUUGGCUAUCACGUUGCCAUUGUCCUUUUUUUUUAAAAAAAAGAAAGUAUCACAUCUUCGUGUAUCGUGUUGGAGUGAGACGGUGGGUGUUAUUGUUUCUUGGUGUUCAGGGAAUUUAGCACAGAAUAUGACACAGAUUUAAGUUAUUGAUGCCUGGAGCAUGGAAUGGGAUGCAUAUUCUGAUUUCCCAAUUGGAGAAUGGAUGCGAUCAAAUGUACUACAUUUGUUAAUACUAUACAUACGUUGCAAAUGGCGAGCUUCGGAGCUUGAAGGCCUCAUGUUUGUGCCAAAUACAUACCUAAAGCUGCAGGAUCGUGAAUAUUUGAUACUGUUGUGUUUGAAGGAAGUUAUCUUGUCAAAUUGUUGACUGAGAAACUAUCUGCUACCUUAUUGUUUUGUUUUGAAUUUUUCAUGACUGUUAGUGAUUCUAACAAAAUUAAUUGCCCCCAGAACUAGGCUCGUUUCCCCCAUUUGACAUCAACAACUCGUGUACCUUGGGUAGUACCCACUAGGCUACUACAUUUUCAUUUCCUAUGCAUUCAUAUUUCAUUGAAGUCAAGGACACUUCAAAUUGAAGGGAACUUUGUUCCAAACAUGCUUAUGCAAACAUUCACCUAAUUCAACUGUCAUGUUUUGUACAUUGUUUAUAACUGUACUUUUUAAUUUAAAAAAUUGCUGUCUGUUUCUGAUGGUGAUUAUUGAUUGCUUCCUUACUUUACAGUAUUUGACCACUGUUACUCCAUGGAUUUGCUGGAAGAAGACGAGCUAAUGCCAUACAUUGGAGGAAUCUUAAAACAGCUAUUUGGCCGAUACUCCAUCGACUCAUUCAUGGUAUUCAACUUUGAGGGAAGCAAGAAGGACAAUCAAAUUGCCAGCAUUUUCUCAUAUUAUGACAUGUGUGUGAUGGGUUACCCACGUAACUAUGAAGGAUGCCCCUUGCUCACCAUGGAGAUGAUUCACCAUUUCUUGAGAUCUAGUGAAAGCUGGCUCUCAUUAAGCCAGGACAACUUUCUGUUAAUACAUGCAGAACAUGGUGGAUGGCCAGUUCUUGCAUUUGCAUUGGCAGCCCUAUUGGUCUACCUCAAAAGGUAUACUGAUGAGAGGAAAGCUUUGGAGGCAGUCUGCAAACAGGCACCUGAUGGGUUAGCUGAGCUAUUCUCACCACUGGACCCAGUGCCUUCUCAACUAAGAUAUUUGAAGUAUGUGUCGAAACGGCACAAAUCACCAGAAUCAUGGCCUCCUGUUGACAAAAUGCUGAAUUUGAACUGUAUAAUAAUCAGGAAGGUACCAAACUUUGAUGGGCGAGGGGGAUGUAGACCAAUAUUCCACAUUUAUGGCCUAGAUCCCCUUGCGCCUAAUGACAGGGCUACUAAACUUCUCUUUUCGACACCAAAGACAAGUGAUUUCGUCCAGCUCUAUACACAGGUAUAAUUUUGUUUAGUCAUUAACUCAUCACGAAUUUCGUAUUGGUAUCUUACAGUAUGUCUCUGAUAUUUCAGUAGCCCAAUAAUUAAAAACCGAUCUAUUUGAAAUAUACAAACAAGCUUACAAGUUUAAUCCAAUUCAAUUUAUAAUAGAUUAGGAAUGAGUCCAAACUUCAAAUCACUUAACCUUUAUCUUUUGUUUUUUUAUUUACUUUAUCGGGUUCCCAUUUCUAUUUCCAGUGUGUAUAACAGGUGUAUAUUUGACUUAAGUGUGUUUAUUGGGUAUCUUAAGGUAUCUUCAAGCUUGUUUGCAUAUUAAGCUGUUCUUAUUUGCAAAUUCAGGAAGAGUGUGAGAUAAUCAAGGUUAAUGUCCAUUGUGCUGUUCAAGGAGACAUUGUAAUUGAGUGUGUCAGCCUGGAUGAGGACUUCGAACAUGAAGUUAUGGUGUUCAGAGCCAUGUUUAGCACAGCUUUUAUUGAAGACAAUUUGUUGGUACUUGAUAGGAACCAGAUUGACAUUCUGUGGGACACAAAACACCGGUUUCCUGUAGACUUCAGAGUUGAGGUAAUUGGAUAAUUUUUGCAUUUUAUUGCAUUAAGUUGCCUGCACCAUUUCACUGUUGUAUACAGUUACACAUCAUUUUCUCCUGAUAAUUGUAGGCUAUAUUUUCUGAUAUGGGAAUGGGCACAACCACUCACAAAUCAGAGUUAUCUAGUGAGGAGAAAGAAAGCCUUUCCAAGGUUGAUGAUGCCUUCAGCCAUCUGGAUUGGUCAAGCAAAACUGAUCACAUCACAAAUGAAGAAUCAAAACAGAAGGGAUUACACGGAGAACAUGACGGCUUUGACACAAUACCUAUAGAGGAAACAGAAAUCAGCAGCGCAUCAGCUGAAAACAGCAGCAGAUCUGUCCAGAUUCAUCACAUAGAACCUGCUGAAAACCAUUCUUCUCUUGCCAAUGUGCAUUCUUCGCCAGAACCUGAGCCUUCUGGACCGAACUUUCAAGGAGGUCAACCCUUCAAUGAUACAUCUGCACAGGAGGAACCUGAAGUGGAUGACUCCAAAAUCAAACCCAAUUCAGAAACUUCCCGAGAUGCAGAAACUGGCGGUGCUGCCGCUGCCACCGCCGAAUGGUCUGACAACAACUCGGAUGUGUUUCUGUCAGACACACACACCCCCUCGAGCAGCACGCCGUCUAGUCCGCCAAAGUUCGACGAAGAUAUCCUGGAGGCUGGUAUGGUUGAAACUCGAUCACAACUGACUGAACUGAAGAUAUAACGAGUUUCCUUUCUUGGAUUGUAAACUGGGGCUCACCUGAUCCAUGGAUGAUGGAGCUGUCCAAACCCCAAAAUAUGUACUUCAACAGAUACGUUUACGCAACAUGGGAAAAUGAUGGUAGUUCAGGCCAUAUUCUCAAGCAUGUACAGUUGAUGUUCUCAAACAUGUAUAAAAGAUUGAUCCAGAUUUUGUUGCUUACCGGAGUAUUCCGCCUCCUUAAUAGUAGUAUUAUUAUUGAUGAAUCCUUGAUAGAUUUCUCCCGUGAAAACGCGCUGAUGACUGACGUGCUUGGCCAUCGGCCACCGCCGUCAGCGGCGCAGCAACAGAUGGUGGUGGGCUGGUGGCGGUACGGCGUGAAUGCCGGCCGGUGUGGUCAGAACUCAGACGCCGCGCUGGUCUUGUCGGGCCUGCGCCGGCAGGAUUUCCUUUCUUCGUCCCACCGCGACGCAUCAUGAGCUCGGGCCCACAAAGGCCCAACAAUGAAAUGACCAUGGGCCACGCCCGCGCUGGGCUAUAAAAGAGCACCUUUUCCAAAGGAGGAGACAACUUGAAAAGUACUCCAAAGGAGCAAUGGAUACUCCUAGUAGGGGGGAAAAAAAUAAAUUCUACGACACUUGUGUAGCUAGCGGCCGGCAAGCGGCACGCAACCGUGACAUCUGACAUGGAUCAUCUGCAGGAUUUGUUUAGUCGACCUGAAAUCUUGUUUCGGAGUUAUCUUUUAAUCUAUACCUAUCUAUAAAGAGCCAAAAUUUCAGUCUGCGCAAUAUUUUUCUGCUCCUAUCCGCUUUCGGUUUAUCUGCCUCCGGUUUACCGAAUCCCUCCGUUCAACGUUUGUAUCAAGCAAAAAGAAAAUAAAAAAUUUUCUAAGGUUCACAAUGCAAAAUCUCAUAUACCAUCGGUCGGCCAAUCAACCCAUCCGGGUAUGGUGGAGAGAAAAAAGAAUAAAAAAUUUUCUAGAGUUCCCAAUAUAAAAUCUCCAAUUUAUUUUUCUUUUAUUCUUUAAAUCGGCUGAAAAUUGAUAAAUAUGUAGUAAUUCAUAGAAAAAUCUAAAAUUUAUAAAAUAAAUUUUGUUCAGCUCCACAUAUGUAGAUCCAUACAGUAAACAAAUAAUAUCACAAAUUUUAGUACACUUUUUUUUUGUUGGAGAUGCUUGCCUAUGCUUUUUAGUGUAAAAUUAAAAUUGUAGUUAUCUUGCUCCAAGUAUUAUAAAAAUUUUAUGGUAACCUAUUUAAUGUGAUGCUUGAUUCAUAUUUCAUAGCAAUCCUAAUCUAAAUAAAAAAAUAAUGCUAGCAACAAACUUCUCAUAUUUUAAUAUAAUAUUGAGGUAUAUUAAGAGGUAAUAUUAGAGUGAGAUAAGGUUUAACUAAUUUCUAUUUUUAUUAUUAAAUAAUUAUGUCUUCAAGCUAUAUAUUAUUGUAAAUAUUAACUAUCUAAUACCGUAGAUGUUAUGGUUAGACUUUAAAUUAUAUAAAAAGGAUAAAUAUAAACAGAUAUGAAACAUUAUGUCAUCACUUUAUCGGGUCAUUUGAUGUUUUUCUUCCGUUGCAACGCAUGAGCAUAUUUGCUAGUAACAACAAAAUGCUAUGCACGAAUUCCCAAACAAAAACUAAUGGCUUAGCUAAUAAUAACAUCUCAAAGAAAAACUGCAGAUGCUACAUGUUGGGCCCCUCGAAAUUUCAGUUGAAGAAAAACUGCAGCCCAUGGUUCGGUAAAUCGGUACCAGGCUUUGAUCCGGCGCAACGCAAACAGCCUGACAGCCUGCACCUAUCGAUCGGCGAUGAAUUCUGUUUAGUACCACCUUGCCCGUUAAAAUGAAAUCAGACCGGAUGAUAAGCUAUUACCGUGAUCCUUGAUUCACCGCGUGGUAAACGCGGAGAGCAACUACAUAAUUGUAUACCUUAAGUUCUUGGCUCGGGCGGUCGCAACACACUACAUCGUGUGUAUAGCUUUUGGCUUCUACUAAGGGCCAAAAUAAUCCUUUAUAUCUAAAGAUGUUUUUAUCUCCCCCUACAUAUAUAUAGAGUAUAUCUACAUGGCAACUGAAUGUUUUGGAAGCUUUGACAAUUGAUUUUUGCCCAUGCAUUUACAAUGUCUUUUAGCUAUAUUUACACCAUUUUAUUACUAUAUUUACAAUAAUUUAUUCGUUGUAAUUUAUUAGACAGAGUGAUAUAAUUUGGGGGAUAACACAACUUCUACUUCUAUGAAUUGCAGACCUCAGAGAAAUAUAUGCCAGUUUUUUUAGAAAAAAAUUUAAAUUAUUUCAAUGGAUUGCAGUUAUCAUAGAAAUAUAUGUCAGAUUGUUCAUAAAUUUCAAAAAAAAAACGGCGACGCGAGGGGCCACACAUCCGACGGCGAGGAAGAAGAGCGUCGCUGGCGAGGCCUCUGGUCGUCAACGCACAGGCGAGGUGAGCGUGGAGCUCCGUCGUUGCGCUCACGACCAUGAGCUCUGCACGGUGUUGGCGGCGGGUGAGGAUGACGGCGGCCGAUGCACACACGAGGGCGACCUACCAUGGCAAGGACGAUGCAAGACUCAGUCUGGCGGGUGAAGGACGCAAACCAUAGUGGGCCGGCCGCAUAUGUGUGUUUUUUUAAAAGGAAAUAUACUAAUAUUUUAGCUUCUGCAUCGACUAAUGAAUAUAACUGUUUUUUUUUUGUUAUAAUCAAGCAAAAAAAAAAGAUCCAGACAACCUUAAAAACAAAUUUUGAAGCAAAGAGUUUCAAGCGCAGCCAAAUCGGAAGGCCAAAAGUUCAGGUGUCAGAACCGACUGUCACGUACGAACAAAAGGCCAGGAAAUUCAACUAGUGUAAACACACAAUAUAAAUCCAUUUAAUAUUAUGAAACAAAAUUUAGUUAAUGAAAUAAAAGUUAUUAGGUAUAUAUGCACACAAUUGUUCUUCACGCUUGCACAGUUUGGCACAACAUAUCCACUGAAAUAUAUACUAGACCAGUAUAUGCAUGCUACAUGCUAUGAUUGGUCUGUUUCCAGCUACAGCUAAAACAGCUACAGCUAAAACAGCUUUUACUGCUUGUUUGGUGGAGCAACAGUGUGGCCAUCGUCGCUGUUGCUGGACAUAUCGCCUCAAUUGAUCUACAGAGACGACGGGCCAACAGAGACGGGGCUUGCACCCCUCCUGUUUAUAUUUUUUUUAAAAAAAAACAGAGACGGGGAGGGAUGCCCUUGUCCUGUGUCUCGUAGAGGGCCUGCGCUGGCGGAGUGAACUCGAGGCCCAACUCCCUCAGCCGCCGGUUGGAUAUCUCGUACGUACGUCGCCUUCCUUGGUUGCUUGUUUAGAUUUUUCAAGAUUUUUUUAUCACAUUUAAUCUUUGGAUAUAUAUAUAUAUAUAACAUUAAAUAUAUACAAAACAAAAACUAAUUAACACAGUUUAUCUGUAAUUUACGAGACGAAUCUUUUAAAUCUAAUUAGUCUAUGAUUGAAUAAUAUCUGUCAUUUAUAAAUGAAAGUGCUACAAUAUUUAUUUAAAAAAAUCUAAAACUAAACAAGGCCUGGGUUUACCUCAUCGGAGCACCUGGCACGCAACAAUGCAAUCCAAGAACGGCACGCAAGUCAUACACUAAUACAAGCUUCGCUAAGAAUAAGACGUUUGCAGCAAUAUAUAUAUAUAUAUGGCUGUAUUCUGUCGUGUACUCUUUGUGUACGUACAUAGUACUCAUGAUCAUUAUCUAAAAAAAAACGUAGUACUCGUGAUGGCAGCAGCAGUAAUGAACGUUGAACAUACGUUGUGCAGAAGGAUGGUGUGUGUCAACCAGCCAAGUAUUUAAAACUUCAUUGGAAAAGUUCGGACUUGUCCGUAAUUUGGAAUAGACAUCGUCGCACGUGUGUACUUGUUGCGUUGUGUCAAUAAGAUUCCUAGUAGAGCCAAAAUAAUUAAGUGCUCAUGAUGCUGAGCUAUUGAUUUGAUCUGAUUUGAUUGAACUAGUCACAGUCAAAUCUUAAUGUUGGACUACUGAUUAGAAUGAACUAGUCACAGAUUAGAAUAGCGCCCAGCCUUCUGCCUAAUCACGUAAUUAAUCGUCAGAUUCGGCAGCAGAUUAUUUCACUGCUUGUUCUACACUAUGUGAAAUCCACUUACAACACUUUCAGCCUUGAUUAUUAGCACGAGUGAGCAUUGUACAUUGACAAUUCGAUCCAUAUGCCUUUUACUAUAUGUUUCCUUAAUAAUUCCUACUCACGGAAGAAAGAAAUUAUACCUAUACAUCUCUCUAAUGAUUCCUUUCCAACACACGUUAUCUAGCGGCCGGAGGAGCUUCCGCCAUCACCACCGACUAGUCUAGAUUGGUGCCCUUCUACCAACGUCACCGCAAUUGGCAUACGAUGGUGGUGGCCCACGGUGUCACCCAAAAAGGUGGCCACACACAUCAUCGAUUUAUCCAUUGUGUCUUUUAUCUCCUUCCUUUUCCACCCUACCACCUAUGUUCGCAAGUGAACACAAUCUCAAUCUGAUACUUGGGUCACUGUGUGGAUGAGUGGGAAGGCUGCCAAUCCACCUUUGGCCAGGGUUUUAUUUUGGGCUCCUGUUGGCAGAUUGUGAGUUAACACUUGGGGGUGAGAUAGUCAUGGUGGAUCUGUGAUAUGGCGACCUUACCAUAUGAUUUAGCCAGUGUGCAUCUACUCUUUGGUGCUUUAAUGAUGGCCGUAGUAGUGUGUUGGUUCCAUGGAAUGUACUAAUGGGAAUUGUAUUCCACUCUCAUCGAUGAGUGAUGCCUGUGUGCGCCACUUUCUUCGCUGAAGGCAUCGUAAAAAACUCCACCCACCAAAUUCUGGUUUAUCCAGUUGUGUAAUGACUUCAUAUAUCGCUCUCCCCUUAGAAACAUCGCAUUGAGAGGUCUUCAUGGGCUAAAUGUGUGAUGCUUGCCAUCGUUCGAAGUGGUUAUCUUCCACUUGUUGUUGCCAGGUUCUAGUAUCUAGUGUCUCUAAUAGAGAUUGAUGUCUAUUGGAUUCAGUGUGUCCGGGCGAUGUUGUGUGUUUGUGAUGACGACUUUCUCAGCUUGGUGGUCAGAACUCAUUGUAGUUUCACCUGAAUUGUGGUGAGAUUGGUUCUUUUUGGAGAAAAUGUCAUAGAAAAGCAACAGAAGGUUGACUACACGACGAGUAUGUUGGAGGUGAGUAUUCUCCUUCUUAUUGUUUUUUAUCUUCUAGAGUAGAUGAAUUGGUUAUAUGCCAUUAUAUCAUACAUGUCUAUCUUUUUAGUGAUGGGUGGUUUUUUUUCUUGUAGCUUUUGUGGCCGAUGCAUCCUCAAUAGAGGAUGAUUGAAGCCGAAACAAAUAUUGUCCAAAGUUUUAAAUAGUGAGUAACCUAUUUAGUGGUGAUAUUGUUUAGGAGCUAUAACAAGAUACAGCAGAAGCUAUUUCCUUUAGUUGUUUUAUAGAAAAUAUGUAAAAUCUUUAUUAAUUAUGCACAUAAACAUGGAACAUAAAAAAUUUCAUAAACACACUCAAUACAAGUCCAAGGUUAUUAGUCAUUUAGAAUGAAAAAUGAGGUUAGAAUUAGUGGCGCUAUUGCGGCUAAAUCAAAUAUAUAGUGGCUGGCAUUUAGCGAACCUAAAGCGUCUAUAGCUGCAAUAACAUCACAAUUAGUAAUGAUAAAAAUAUAGCGAAAGAGAACUAUUUAAAACCAUGAUAAUUUUUAUUGUAUUAUCUAAAAAAACAUUUCCUUUUUUCGUGAACGGGGAUUUACCCAUGUUUCAUUAAGACGAAAGGACAAGUCACUGUAGAGACAACGCAGGGGCCUACUGUUGGCUUCCGCGCUGUGAAAAUUUACAUCCUAUAAUUUACAAAUCAUUAACCUAUGUUGAUUGGUCAAAAGAUCAAGAAGGUUGAGCCUUGAUUGCGUGUGCCCACCUUAGAAAAGAAAACAUGGGAGUAUGAAAGUACUUGCUUUCCUUAAGCACGUGCCUUGACUAAGAAACAAGGCAGAGCUCUUACUAUGACGAGGUAUGACACUCGCCAUACCUUGAAUUCUUAUCGAUAUCUAAAUCACCCUUAGCUAUGAACAUAUGUCUUUAUUGUGAGAGAAAAAUACUACCGAAUGACUGACAGAUUCGACAGAUAAACUCAAACAAAUAGAGCCAUUUAUGGACAUAAGUUUUGCAGCUCUGAAGUCACAACCGGCGUUCUGAGCAAGAAGAAGAGCAGUCACUGCCUCGCCCGAGCCUCGGCCUCGAGCGCAAUCAACGCCUCGCCCAAGCCCCGACCUCGAGCACAAUCAACGCCUCGCCUGAGCUCCGACCUCAAGCGCAAUCAACGCCUCGCCCGAGCCUCGGCCUCGGCGCCAAGCUUCUUACACACGGCGAUCGUACCGUUGAUGCAACGCCGGCCAUGCUUCCUCCCAUACCACGGCAGGAUAUGGCGCACACUAUUCCAACAACUCGUCCCUGUAACACCUUACUCAUGUCACUGGGUACGACACGAUAGGAAAAGGAAUGGGAGGCGUUAACUCACACCACUGUCACCAUGCCCAGGCGAUUACUAUUCUACUGGUGCAGGACGGAGUACAGGGCCUCGGAGGGGAUUGCCAUGAUCCAAACAGGGCUCGACAACACCUCCAACAGGGACGACCACGCCACUGCCACUACCACUAGGAUGUGGAGACCAAUCUCCACAGUACCGACGCUGUAAUUCUCGUGCAUAUCAAGAGUAGAUAGCCAAAUUUACACAUGUAAAACCCUACCUCCUCUUGUGUGGCUAUAAAAGGGGAGGCAGGGCACCCCAUAGAGACAAGGCGACUACACAACCAGACAACAAGAGACUCACACUCACACCCACACACUCCAAGCCGAGACCUGGGACUUAAUCCCUCUCUUGCAACUAGCUUGUACACCCCUACUACAAGCACUUUUAGGUGCAACCCCCUCACUGGACGUAGGUCAUCCUUGACCUGAACCAAUAUAAACCCUUUAUGUUUCUCUUACAUCACCAUUCGGGUUAAGGGACGCAUAGACUUAUUAGCUGGACCCCAAGUCUAGACACCGACAGCAGGCUAAACUUUUUGGUGUUAUCUUGUUUAGGAGCUAUAAAAUGGCAUAGUAGGAUAUAGCUAGCAAAAACUAUUUCAUUUAACAGUUUAUGGAAAGCAUUUAAAAUAUUAAUUAGUCAUGCAUAUAAACUUACAACUGAGAAAAGUUCAUGAACACGAAUGCCGAAUACAAGUCCAAGGCUAUGGAACAUGUAUACAUAGUCAUUGAAUCAAUCAACAUGUUCAUGUCUGUAAUCAACAUUGACGAUACUCAUUCAACAUUCUGCCUUUCUUUAAACUUUUGUAAUUGUACACUAGUACAAAGAAGCACUACGCUGGUGGUGGAAUAUAAUUUUUACAUGCGGUUUUAAUUAAACAACGCCUGUAGAAAGAAAUCGGCUUGCCCGACUAAAAACCUGUCUAUGAAAAUCAAUUUCCACAGACGAUUUUCCUAACAAAACUGCAUGUAGAAAUCAUGUAUUUCUAUAGGCGGUUCUCCUAAUAAACCGCCAGUGAAAAUCAUAUUUCUACAGGCGGUUUCUUGAGAAAACCGCCUGUAGAAAUAAUUUAAAAUUGAAUUUUUUAAGCUUUUCAAAUGACCUCGUUUGAAAAAUCGUCAAAAUAAAAGUUGUAGAUCUUGAAAAUUAUAAAACUUUGUAGUUGAUAAGUUUUUCAUUUGAAAUAUUCUUGUCGUCGAAAACUACGUUUGAAUUUCUCAAAUUUAAAAUUUAAAUUUUGUAAAUGACCUCGGAUGGAGAAACUACCAAUACAAAAGUCGUAGAUCUUGAAAAAUUGUGAAACUUUGUAGUUGACAACUUUUCCAUUGGAAUCCGUUUAGGGUCUCAAAUAAUCAAUAUAUGCUCGAUUUAGGAUAACAUGUGGGGAACUAAACUCUAGUAUAGACACAACUUAGUGAUACGUGGAGUGGUAGAGGAGAUUACGCAUAAGUGUGAGGUCUUAGGUUCGAAUCCCACUAACCGUGAAGCACGAUUUUACGCGAAAAGUUGAUUUUUUAGCAAGUGAGCCUUUCCUAUAAUUAUUUUUCCCUAUUUUUAAAAGUUGAUUUUGUAUUUUGUAUAAACAGAUUUCUAUAGGCGGGUGGCAUAACUGAACCCCCUAUAGAAAUGGAUUUCUACAUACAGUUCUAGAUUACCCACCUGUAGAAAAAUUUAUUUCCACAGGCACCUAGCACAGGCGGUUCGCCAAUCCACCUAUGAAAGGGGGUGGCGAACCGCCUGUAUAGUACCUAGUUGUACUGAUGACUUGCUCUUUCAAUAAACGCUGUGGUGGGGUGCAAACCCCUACCGUUUCUUAAAAAAAACAUUCAAUAGCAAACGACUCAAUUUUUAUUAUUCUUUUAAGGAACUAAAUAACUAAGUAAAGAACAAAACGGUGUAGUAUAGAGUAUAGACUAUAGUGUGUAGAGUAAAAAAAGUAAUACAUGCCUCGGUCAGGAUUAGUGCGUGGCGUUAAAAAAAAUCGCAGCUAAACCAGAUAAUGGCGUUUGGUAAACUCCAAUCGUCCAUAUUAGCUAAAACAAGAGGACAGUUGGCAAUGUCGUAGUAGCAUGCCCUCUAAAAAAACUAUAGCCGAUUAUUUGAGACCAUGAUAUAUAUAUUUCCCUAGUUAAAGACAGGAUAGAUGUAGAAAACAGUAUGCCUCAUUAGAAAUUUAGAAUGAAUAAUCGACGACAAUGCUAGACUGACAGACCGAGUGAAGCUGCGGCGUACUCCGGGACGGGGUACUCAGAGAAGAACAUGCGGUCGAUCGGAGCAGAUGCAGCUAGCGGCGUCGGGGAACUCGAAGACGCGACGUGCGCGUCGUCGGCAGCGUCGUCCCGGCCGGACGUGGAGACGACAGCAGGAGCACGUUGCCAUACGUCUGGACGGACCCGUUGAGGUACUUGAGCAAGGGCAUGAGGCUGGCGUUCAGUUCACUGACGGCUAGCUGCAGCGCCAGGCCUGCACCAGCACCGCCGACAAGCACCAGCAGCCCCCGGAUCAGUUGGACCUGACCACGAAUUAUACGUUUUUCUAAAAAAAGCCAAGACCUUAUUUAGAUCCAAAAUGUUUUUGGAUUUAGCAAAGUCCGAUAAACUACAUCAUAGUCACACAAAUGUAGGAUGAUACUCCAAUGCGAAUUUAUCUUAUUAGGAGAUUAUACAACUGUCAACUAUAGUAGCUAGCAACAUAGAAAGUCACAUCGGUCGAUAGUCACUGUUGCACUAUUAGCGCUUGUGACACUUACACGCCCACAAUGCAUGCAUGGUACAUACUUCAUAUUCUAUUUUUAGCAAACUGAUGGAAGCAUAUAUAGCGACUGUUAUAGUUUGCGUGCCAUAUGCUAAUUUGUUUCUUCAGGGACUACCAAGGUAGCCUAUAGCUGUGAUUCGUACGAGUACGACGUAUAUAGCUCAGGCCUCCGGCGACGGCGACGGCGUUGGGGCAGGGAUAGGGAUGAUGCCCUUCUCCUGGAAGCAUAUGACGGUGUCGUACAGGGCCUGCGCCGCCGGCGUGAACUCCAAGCCCAAGUCCCUCAGCUUCUGGUUGGAUAUCUUGUACGGCUGCUUCCUUGGGUUCACCUCAUCAGAGCACCUGCCAGAUGCAAAUAUUGCAAUCCAAGAACAAGAAGUUAGUAAUACAGUGUAAAUGUCAUAAGCAUACUAUUAAUUACAAUACAAUACAAUAAUACAAUUAAUACAGGUACGGUGAAAAAUCCUCAGGAGAACCCAUCAACAAGUCAAAAGUAUUUUCUGCACGACUUUAGAGUACCGUGUCAAAAGCUAAUAAAAGGCAGACGAUAGAUGCUUUGACCGCAGAAGAAUAAUUGACUUUUCCAGUUUUCCCGAAUGGAUAGAUCACGUCGUUGAUCUAUCAACGGUGAACUAAUAAUAAAUAAUAAAGAAUGCUUAAAAAAGUUUAUAAGUAGUAUAUAUAUAUGUACUGGCCAAUGCAAAGAAGACUACAUAUAACUCUUAGCCGUUGGACUUGAACAAAAGAGCUAAAGUCUGGGCAACAGAUUUCCCAAUCGGCUAUGCAGUAUGUGGCUAUGUGCUACGUAACUCCACCGCCGAUGCUUUCACCCUUGACAAACUGAUGCACCGCACUUUGUAACCAAAUUAUCACCUCAUCAUCAGAUUCAACAUAAUCAGCACGUGAGCACUAUCUAUCUUGACAAUUUCACGUGUUUUAACCUUUUUUUACCUUGAUUUCCACAUGGCACCUUGAUUUCUGAAACGAAAGACAGCGACACAUGCAUGCAUGCGCUGCAUCUCUCGAAAGCAAAAAGCAAGCAUAUGCACGCGUGCGUGCACGAUCGACAGAGCAUCAUAUCCAACUAGCAAGCAAACGACAUGCAUAUCGACAAAAGCAGCAGUGACGACAACGACGACGGCACACUGACCUUUCCGGGACGGGGUAGUCCGGGAAGAACUUGCGGAGCGUCCUGACGACGUCCUCGCGGUGGAGCACGGCGCCGUCGGCGCAGAUGUACCGGCCGGCGGCGUGCGGCGCCUCGAAGACGCGGACGUGCGCGUCGGCGGCGUCGCGGACGUGCACGUACGCCUGCACGGCGUUGGCGUACGUCUUGGCGGAGCCGUUCAGGUACUUGAGCACGUGCAUCAGGCUGGCGUUCACCGACGGCUGCAGCGCCGGCCCCUGCACCAGCACCGGGUUCACCACCACCAGGUCCACCCCGCGCGCCGCCGCCUCCUCCCACGCCGCCUGCUCCGCCACCGCCUUCCCGUAGCAGUACCAGUUCUGACAUCACAGCAAUGCAAAGCUCGAUCGAUGAACACGUAUGCAUGCAUGGAGGGAAUGAACUCGUAGUCGAUGACUGUACUGUACCUUGGUCUUCUUGCAGAAGUCGAGGUCGCUCCAGCACGACUCGUCGACGACGGCGUCCGGCGAGCGGUUGGGAUCCAUGGCGACCGCGCCGAUGGACGAGGUCAGGACGACGCGGCGGACCGUGCCGGCCUCGGCCGCGGCGUCGAUGAUGUAGCGCGUCCCUGUCACCGCUGGCUCCACCAUUUCCUCCUGCAAGUUUUUAACGAAAAAGUUGUAGAACAAAACAAGUAAGAAUCAAGAUGUCACCAAAAACGUCCAAAAAUCCAAAAUCCCCCGAUGAUACUCCAACAACUUGGAGCCAAGCAGGACCGGCUGGAACUGGAAGGUGGCCGGCGGCCGAGCGCCAGCGGUUGGCCGGCCGGCCGGGAGCCUCGGCGGCUCGCGCGCGCCACCCACCUGGGACAGGGAGGCUGGGAGCUGGCUGGCGUGCGGCGGCGGAUCGGAGGAGGCGACAAGCGUCCAAGCGGCAGCCGGCCGGCAGCAGCUGGGGUGGCUCCGCCUCCGGCCAUGAGCCUGACGACUAUGAGCUGCCCAUGCAUGCAUGCCAGCCAUGCCGUGUGAGUAAAUGCGAUGCGACGAGGACAGAAGCAAAGGUCACUGAGGAGUGGGCCUAACUGCAAACGGUCGCAUUUUUAUUCCUCUCUCUACUACCUGCACGCAUCUGGCUGGAGUGAAAUUUGCACGCAUGCAUACAUGCAGGAGACAGUUUACAUCUCAAAAAUAUUCUACGAUUAGAGUAAAUUUUUUUGUUGAGAUUUUGAUUGAUCCUCUUUUAAUAAUAAAUAAUAAAUACCUACAGUAGCUAGUAGGUGCUGUAUAUAUAUAGUCACUACUGGAGUACAUACAGGAGAAAACGUUUUUACUCUAAAGACCAGCCUGGUACGGUACGUGGCAUGUACCGUGAUCGAUCGAUCUUAGUAUAUCCGUAUUCAAGUAGUAGUAUAGGUUACACGUAGUAUACGUACUGGAUCGUCGGUAACGGGCGACGCGGUAUGGAAGACGCCGUGGCAGCCAGCGAUGGCCGCCCGCAGCGUGUCGUAGUCGAGCAGAUCGGCCUUGCACAGCGCCAGCCUCUCCGUCGCGCCGGGAAGCGCCCUCAGGUGCGCGUUCUUCGCGUCGUCUGCCCUCCAUCGCCAGACACAACACAGUCAGUAUAUAUCGAUCGAUCGCAACAAACAUCUCAUCAGAUGGGACGACACGGAUCUAGGUUACCGGGGUUGCGCACGGUGCCUCUGACGGCGUACCCCCUCUCGAGCAGGAGCUUGACGAUCCACGACCCGACGUAGCCGCCGGCGCCGGUCACGCACACCGUCGUCGUCUGCCCGCGUCCCGCCGCCGCCGCCGCCGCGUCGUCGCCUCCCACGACGGUCAUGUCGUCGUCGCCGCCCGCCGCCGCGCGUGGUUACCGGGUCGCUGUUAUUACUUACCACACGCACACACAGGCGAGAGGAAAUUACUCCCAAGCAAAGCAAUAAGGGGCAAGGGGGCUCUGUCGUCCUGUCUGUCUCUCUUUAAUCUGCGUCUCUAUUGUGUGUUUGGUGUGGUCUAUUUAUAGGAGGCUCCGGAGGUCUGUGUUUGGUAAGACUUCAGAGUAUUUGUCUGGGCCAAGAUCGAGCUGGAUCGGAGUUGGUAGCUAGCGCCGCCGGGCGCGCUAGUAUCUAGCGUGACAGCCUGACACAGGAGGAAUCCGUCCGGGAUUACCGUCGUCACGUCAGAUGCCACUGCGGUGCUGUGACAGGGACACAUGCAGGGUGCCUGUGUGUUGAUCAACGAAGCUUCUUUUGUCAUUUGCGUGGGUGCACAUUUGGAGUUUUGGUACAUAUUUACCCCCCAAAAAAUUAAACUUACUAGCAGCAAAGCCGCAUAUAUAUGCAUGAUAUAAGAGCUAGCAACUUCAAGAGAAUAGUUGAUAAACAUUGGGUCUAAAAUAGAGUGUUUCGAGACUCUUAAAAAAAAAUAGCGCCCCAAGAUAUCGGAAUUUCCUAAUAUUUAGGUGUCUAAUUUUUCUCAUUCUUUCAAACGACGGUUCACAGUCGUCAUAUCUUCAUCUUGUGGCCGGGGUGGUAGCUCGCGCACUAUUCUUCUUCUUCCUUGCGUCCUUGUGGUUUCUCCCUCGUCUCGUUUGGGCCAGCCCUUCCCCCUCUCCCUCCCUAUACCGCGCCCGCGGCGACAAUCUCUUUCCCUUCACCUCUCUCGCCGCCGCUAUCUUCUCUAACUUCGAUGACUAUGGCCACGACGCCUUCACCUUGACUUGGCCUGGACGCCUCUACCACCACUAAGGCCUUGUUUAGUUCAUCCAAAAACCAAAAACUUUUCAAAAUUCUUCGUCACAUCAAAUCUUCAGGCACAUGCAUGAAGCAUUAGAUAUAGACGAAAAUAAAAAAAUAAUUACACAGUUUCCCUGUAAAUCACGAGAUGAAUCUUUUGAGCUUAGUUAGUCUAUGAUUAGAUAAUAUUUAUCAAAUAAAAACAAAAAUACUACAGUACCGAAAUCUAAAAUCUUUUCGAAACUAAACAAGGCCUGAGACCCGAAGCUAUUCGUCCUUUGUCUCUACCGUCUGGCCCGCCUGUCUCUCCCACCUGAACCCCGGCCCUUAUGUGUCUACCGGAUUUAGAGAGGAAAGAAAGGGAGAGGCCCCGUCAUCGUCUUCGUCUCUAUGGUGGUGCGGCCACAUGCGAGCAUGGGCGCAGGGUGUCGGGGACCGCAUGAGCGGGUUUUCCGAUGUCUAUUUGGAGAGUCCGAUGUCGGUUUAUUUUUUAAAACGGUUCAACACUUGCUUGCUGUGGAUCUGAUCAGCUUUAGUUGGCACCGUCGUCAUCUCCCUUGGCCGUCCACGUGAAGUACAUUAGCCGCCCAUCGCACCACCCAGCCAGCCACGGCUGCUGAUCACACAUGCUGUAUAAAUAUAGAUAUAUUUUUUUAUAGCACCAUUCUAGAAUCAUUCCAGCAAUCGAUUACUAGCCGUCAUAUUGAUUUCUAACUGGACAAUGUCUGCGAUUUCGUUCUUACCUUGCGAAUGGUACAAGUAAUCCAUAAAAAGACGCCGUUGAUCAUGCUGACAAUCUGGGGAUCGAUCUAAAGAGAGAGAAAUAAACAAUCGCUUUUUUCUUAGGCCUUGUUUAGUUUACCCCGAAAUCCAAAAAGUUUUCAAGAUUCUCCGUCACAUCGAAUCUUUCGAUACAUGCAUGAAACAUUAAAUAUAGAUGAAAAUAAAAACUAAUUGCACAGUUUACCUGUAAAUCGUGAGACGAAUCUUUUGUUUUUAGUUAGUCUAUAAUUGGACAAUAUUUACCACAAACAAACGAAAGUGCUACAGUAGCGAAAUCCAAAAUCUUUUCGCAUCUAAACAAGGCCUUAGAAAACAAUAAUGUAUGACUAUCCAGCAAGUGGUGCACCGGAAACAAGACGAGGAAUCCUGGCAUGUUUAGUUUGCACCGUGGAGCAAUUUUUGCCUAGGCCAGGUGACGACACCACCGUCAGGCGACCAAAAAUGACGGCCUGGCUGCCGCACGCUGCUGCCUGCAGGACUAAUCUUGUAUUUGUCUCUUUUGUUUUGUUUUUCUUUUGCUGUAUAGUCGUUUAAUCUUGUUCCUUUUUCUGUAAUCUUUGUCUCAACGCCAGGUUCGGUUAGGUGUGGCCGAAACAUCUUUCUUUGUUUCCUUGUAAUAUAAUAUCCAGUCCUUUAUUAUAUAUGUAUAGAUAGAUAACAAGUAAAAUAAUAAAAUUAUUGUUGUUUUUUUAUAUAAUUGAUUCAUAAAAACUUUUGGUUUAUUUGUUUCUUUAUUUUAAUUGUUUUUAUUACUCAAAUAAUAUUAAGUAAGAUUACAUAUAUAGGAAAAUAUAUUCUCUAUUCAUUAAACUUCGAAGGCAUUGGUUUCCAACCAAAUGGAAUAUCUCUCUACUUGCCUCGAGAGGUAGUUUUUACUAAAAUCCUAGGCAACACUUUUUAUCACACAAGGCAUCCAGGCUUCCAACCAAACAGGUCCUAGGACUUAUACCGUUUAUUGUGAAUGACGGCGGAUAAACGAUGAAGAACAUAAGAUCAAAUCAUAAUAGAGACACAAUAUUUAAUGUGGAAAACCUCUCUAAUAUACAAAGGAGAAAAACCACGGACGUCAGUCAGCAAAUACUCAUCACUGUUAUUAAGAGUUGGGUUACAACGUAGUGCGGCGGCUUACAAGAUCAUAAUCUUCGCUCCGGCCCAGCCUUCGACUUCAACGGGCCUCCGCUUCGCUCCGUCAAAAGUUGGCAUUUAUAAUGUGCAACUGAAUUUGAAACAUAUUCAACACCGCUAACUCUAGAGAUUCUAGCUAGAGUUGUGCAAGUCUCAGAGGUCGCUUAUUGUAAAGUCCCUACUUAUUUUCUUGUCAGUCGCUCUAUUGUAAAACUGGGGUGGCACGGGACUCGUAAAAUCUAAACUCCACAUGAAAAACCGGUUGGCGUCGCUUACAUCGCUUAUAUAUAGGCUUUUGUAAUUUAUGCUCUUCUCUUAUAAAUGAAACUAAGCCUAUAACUCAGUUCUUUCCGGAAAAAGGUUAACAUGCAAAUUGUACAAAGCAAAAAAAAAUAAGGAACAUUUGGAUGGCACAUAAUUUUUUUAACUGACAGAAAAUUUGGAAAGUCCCACGUUUAUUUUUUAACGGUCAAACACUUGCUUGCUGUGGAUCUGAUGAUCGGCUUUAUUUGGCACCGUCGCCAAUGUCCCUUGGCCGUCCACGUGAAGUACUCUAGCAGCCCAUCGCACCGCCCAGCCAGCCACGGCUGCUGAUCACACAGGCUGUAAUAAUAAACAAUAUAUCUUUGAGGAAAAAAAAAAGCUACAGGGCACUCGGUUGUUUCGUCUGCUUUGGACACGCGAUUUUCUGGCACGUUCUCAGAACAAUCGAUUACUAGCCGUAAUAUUGAUUUCUAACUGGACAAGCAAUACAAUGCCUGCGAAUUCGUACGUUCUGACCUUGCAAAUGGUACAAGUAAUGCUUAAAAAGGCACACGGUUCAGUCAACAUGCAAAAUGAUCAUGCUGACAAUAAUCUAGGAGAUCUGGAGAAAGAUAGAAACAGUCGCGUGUUUAGAAAACAAAUAUAUGACUAUGCGGCAAGUGUGCACCGAAUACAAGACGAGGCGAGCUACGGUGGCAACAAGGGACUACUUCUAGUUUUUUUGGGUCUCGUCUCUCGUAGGUCGCAGAUUGUAAAGUUGCUACUUGUUCUUUUUUUCUUAUAAAUCACUCUCUUGUAAGACGGGUGGCACGGGACUUAGGCUUUAUUUAGAUUACCUUAAAAUCCAAAAACUUUUUAAGAUUUUUCAUUACAUUACAUCGAUCCUUGCGAUAUAUAUAUAUAUAUAUAUAUAUAUAUAUAUAUAAUAACUAAUUAUACAGUUUAUCUGAUUCGCGAGACGAAUCUUUUGACCCUAAUUAGUUUAUGAUUGGAUAACAAUUGCUAAAUACAAAUGAAAGUGCCGCGAUAAAAAAAAUCUAAACAAGACCUUAAAAAACUAAACCCCACCCACAAAAUUGGGCUGGCGUAGCUUGUGCCGCUUAUAGGGUUUUGCAAUUUAUGCUCUUCUCUUAUAAGCCGAUAACUCGGUUUUUUUUUAAAAAAAAAGAGAAGUUAACAUGCAAACAGUAGAACCAAGUAAUGCUAAAAAAAUGAAAACAUUUGGAUGGAGUGCUAGAAAACACAGAAAUUCGAUAAGAAGGUGACACAAAGGAAUUUUUCAUAACAUUUCUCCACAAUUACUAUGGAACAAAGCCAUCCCGUAUGAAUUUCAUAUAGGAUUUGUAACCCAAUUAUUUGCAUCACAGAGUCGUACCUAAAUGUACCAGUCAGCCCGGGGGGGGGGGGGGGGGGGGCACAUACAACCACGGUGUGGAUUUAUCCUUCAUGAUUCUGUCAUGUCGGUUUGGACAGUUUUUUCCCCCUUCGUAGAGAAGGAUCCAAACACUAAUACAAAUCCACAAUGACAUAUGAAUUGCUUUUAUUGUACGAAGAUGUACAACUUGAUCUUGUUUUUUUAUUCUUCCAAGAUUGUUUAUGUCACGGUCUCCAAAAUAAUUCUGUCAUAUAAAGACUUCUAUGCAACCUUUAUUACAAUGCAUUAUAUAUAUCACCGUAUCAUGGUAACAUAUAUCAGUUUAUUGUUGUAUGUGAACUGUGUCUAACAAUGAGUCUAAAACAUGUGUGCGUGCAUGCCCCAGCUGUAUCUUUACGAUGAUAAUGCUCCUAUAUCUCUUUCUUCUUUAUAAUCACUUGCCAUGCCACCAAAAUGUCUUACAUGGUGACUAAUUAAUAGUACUGACCAUACUACACAUUACUGGAUCUAACCUAAGCAUAUGGCUGGACGAUUUAUUGCUGAAUGAUAACACGCUUUGGCAUCUCAACGUGCGACCAUAUAACGUGAUGCAAAUCUGUUAUACACCCCCCCAAAGGAAGCUGCUCUCUCUUAUAAUUAAUUAAUUUGGAAAGAAAAGAUAUAUUGGUUCCUUUGUUUUCUGGCUUUAGAUUAGAGUCGCUUGCAGACAUUAGAAAAAGUAUACGCAUACAUAAAGGCUACUCCGUACUCAAAAGCAGCUUAAUUUCUAGAGCCUUCAGUUUCACCUUUCACAAUGAGGAGUGGUAGAUGAUCAGCCACACUUUAGCAAGAGAGGCUCAGGCGCUCAGCCCCCUUCCUCUUCUUUUCCGGAGGGAACCAUCAACCGUUGGUAAUUUGUUGAUCUCGCCUCUGUCUGCUUCAGUGUUCAUUGUGGUUUUCUGUCGGCCCAGGAAAUCAAUCAGAGCCGGAAAAGCAGGCUUGGACGCAACGAACAGCUUGUUGCAGUACUUGCGCGGUUACGCGGUAUACGUAUAACUUGUGCUUAUUCCGAGUACCUAGUCACCUUUCAUAACUGGUAUAAAUGCUGCCUUUGAUUCGGGACUACGGUAACUAGGUGCAGCAAAAGCAUCUCUAGCACUGCUAUCUUAGGGCCUGUUUGGUUCCCCUUACUAAAUUUUAGCUACUCUUGAGUGACUAAUGGAACUAAACUAUUUUAGCUCAUUUUAGUCAAUAUGUUUGGAACUUUAGCUACUAAAGUGACUAAAGUUUAGCUAGCUAAAAUUUAGUUGGUGGAACCAAACAGGGCCUUAGACAGACUACCUAAAACUUUUUUUUGUAGCCAACUGUUUUUUACUACUAAAUUUUUUCUCAACUCUAGCCCUACUACCUAAAAUUAGCUAACUAUUUUUGUCCUACUAGAGAAUGACAUGUGGAUCCUACAUGUCAUCCUCACUCAUGGUCGGAGCAUAGGAGCCUCACCGUCAAGGAAGCAAGGCCGCCACUACCUGGGAUCUCCGCACGCUGAGGGCACGGCCACGUGCGCCAAGCAGGAUGUGUCGAAAAGUUGAACACUUGACAGAUAAACUUAUUAAACCUAAUUAAUCUAUCAUUAACAACAUGUUUACUAUAUUAUCAAAUCCUAGACUAAUUGAGCUUAGAAAAUGUCUCAUGAAUUAGUCAUACAUCUCAUAUGAUAUAGGCAACUUUAGGUGAGGAACCACGGCACCACCACAUCGCCUACGUAGGCUGUCUUCAAUAGGAGACCUAUUUGGGAACCCAAACUCAAAAUGGGUCUCUAAUAUAAUACCUAUAACCUCCAACAGAGUACUCAUACCGAAGACACAUUUUGGAUAUUGUGGGGGGAUAAACCCCUAUACCCUCAUGGGCCAAUAUGGGCCGCACCAUCAGAGGUGGCUCGGCCCACAAGAUGAAGACGUGCGGCGCACGACUGGUCGGCGUGCACCGCAAGACUACAAGAUAUUGUACCAAAUAGGAUACUUUGCUUGUAACUCUGUCCCUUCAGGAUAUAUAAGGAGGGGCAGAGGUCCCCUAGAGGACAGGUUACACAUUAUUCUCUCAACACAAAUCAAUACAACCAGACGCAGGACGUAGGUAUUACGCCCACACGGCGGCCGAACCUCGAUAAAAAGCUUGUCCGUAUAUUGCGUCACCAUCGAGUUCGUAGUUUGCGCACCGUCUACCGAUAAACCACUACCGUGGGUAUACCCCAAGGUAGACUGCCGGCUAGCUUUCGUCGACAGUGGUGCGCCAGGUAGGGGGUGUGCGUACAGCUUCCUAGACGAACAAGAUGGCCAUCAUCACCGACUUCGCGGUCAUGGCGGGCGACUUCACGUUCACCGUCAGCUUCAACAGCUUCACCGCCAUGACCACGGAGGAGGCGUAGAUCCGAUCUGCGCCAAUCGCUUCUUCAUCGACGUCGGUCGCGACUCCAACCACGCUGGCUACGACUCCGACUACUCCAGCAACGUUUCCAACUACGCCGACAACGCGUCAGCCGCUUCCCUGCUACAAAGGGAGGUAGAUCGACAACACCGACCUGCUCGGGCUAUCGACCAAAUUGUUUGGCCUACUUGCUCUGACCACCUGUCGCAAUAAUAAUCGCCACGAAAAACGGCGCUAUGACAACAGCGACCACCGUCAUGACAACAAGUCAAAAAGCCCGAGGGCCAGACAAUUUUGUCACCACCGACCAGACUUUCGUCUAAAGAUAAGUACACUUCAAAUAUUUUAUUUAAUUUUGGCAUAAUAUUUCUUAUUAUUAUCCUUCAAAACAAUUUUUUGGUUAGCCGACUAGUUUUUUCUCCUACACGAGCUUUCCAGAGCCGGUACUGUCUCCGACUCCUCCCUACACGUGCACGAGAUCCGCCCUCUGCGUUCCGGGUGGUCGGCAGUAGCUCUCUGACGUGGCUGACAAUACUACGCGUGCCUUGGUUCCGCACCUCAUGCUGAUUGUUGGCUAGACCAGAGCUGGUACAAGCUCUGCUCGGGGACUGCCCCGACCACCGAGCACGUUUACGUUCCCAACCACGCUCGGGGACUUGUCGACUAGUCUCUACGCUGUGCUCGAAGACUGUGCCGACCACCGAGCACGUUUACGUUCUCAACCACGCUCGGGGACUUGUCUACCAGUCCAUACGCCGUGCUCGGGGACUGUGCCGACCACCGAGCACGUUUACGUUCCCAACCAUGCUCGCGGACUGGUCGACCAGUCUCUAUGCCGUGUUCGGAGACUUAUCAAUCAUCUCCCUGCGCUGUGCUCGGGACUUGCUUCGAUUACUCUCCAACCACAGCUUGGGGAUUGCUUUUCUCAGUUAUGGAUAAUUUUAAUUUUUUAGACCUUGCUACAAGGCUCAUACUUCGCCUUCCAGCAAGCUCGGGGACUACAUCGGUACGAUGCAUCUGGCGAUGCAUCUCAAGUUUUAGAAUUUUUAUGAAGACUUUUUUGACCCUGGCGCCACGUGCCUACGUCACCUACUACCAGGCUCGGAGACUAAGUGUGCACACUUCACCUUGCGGUGAACAUGUUUGCUUUUUGAAAGUAUGUACUUUUCAGAAAAGUAAAGUGGGCACACUUCACCAGAAAAGAAAUCUUUUUUUAAUUUAGAGCACCAUGCAUUCUUCGAACAACCGACUUCUUCGAUGUUGAUGUUGGUCAACUGUCUUUUGAGUUGGUUAAAAUACCGUUGCAACUGUUUGGGCGACUUUUCUGCUUAUCGAAGACAUCAAGCCUCACUGGUCGAAGAAGCUCAAGACAGUGUGUUACAUCACAAUACAUGGUGCUCGGGGACUAGCUGUGGGGGGAUAAACCCCUAUACCCUCAUGAGCCAAUAUGGGCCGCACCAUCAGAGGUGGCUCGGCCCACAAGAUGAAGACGUGCGGCGCACGACUGGUCGACGUGCACCGCAAGACUACAAGAUAUUGUAAACAAAUAGGAUACUUUGCUUGUAACUCUGUCCCUUCAGGAUAUAUAAGGAGGGGCAGGGGUCUCCUAGAGGACAGGUUACACAUUAUUCUCUCAACACAAAUCAAUACAACCAGACACAGGACGUAGGUAUUACGCCCACACGGCGGUCGAACCUGGAUAAAAAGCUUGUCCGUGUCUUGCGUCACCAUUAAGUUCGUAGCUUGCGCACCGUCUACCGAUAAACUACUACCGUGGGUAUACCCCAAGGUAGACUGCCGACUAGCUUUCGUCGACAGAUAUCAUGAGAGUCAUAACCUAAAUUUGAGUUUUCUCUCUCAUCGAGACCCAUUUGCAGAGAGUGUUAUCUUUUAGGUAUUGUUGUUGGAGAAGAUUAAAACUAGGUAUGGAAUCUUAUUUGUAGUGUUACUCAAAGGACAUGUAUUUAGGGUGACGAUUGUUGAAAGUCUAAGGCCAGUCUCAAUGUAUAGUUUCAUGGUACAAUUAUUAAGACUAUAAACUAGGUAACCGAGCCACAUGAGUUUCAUGAGGACGAAACUCCUCUCUCAUCUAAUGAAACUCCUUCAUUCAACACUGUCAAAUCAUCAAUUUUACUUAUGUGACAUUCUAUUUAAUGUGCAUAACACUCUUAUAAAACAUGCCGACGUCACAUGCGUUCUUGCAUUUGCGAUAGAACGGAAGGGUGGAUGGAUGGGACAAGCAACCACCGCGCCACCAACCCCGACGUCGCCGUCGCCGUCGCCGGUCGCCCGUGUACGGAGAGGCUUUUAUUCUCGAGGGGACAAACGUCUCGCGGCUUUCGCCGGCCAAUCUAGCAGCACCGGCAGACUUGAAUGUCACAACACCUCUUGUGAGGGAUCCUGCCGCGGAUGAAGAGAAGCAAGAACGAAGCGGUACCAGGUAAAGAUGGCCAGAGGCCCAAGAAAAUGGUCCAGCCCAACGUCAAGGUCAAGGACACCGGCCCAGAGUGGGUGGCCCAGCAACGAAGGUUGUGUGGAAUCUGUUCGCUGAGAGACGUUAACUACCAUCGAGUAGGGGCCUAGGGAGAGAGGGGGGGUAGGAAAGGAGAAGAGAAAGACGAAGGUAUUGUUUAGUUGAAAAAAAAAUACAAAAUGAAUAUCGUAGCAUUUUCGUUUAUAUUUGAUAAAUAUUAUCUAAUUAUGGAGGAGUUAAACUUUAACUCCUAUUAUAUUGAAUGUUUGAAUACAUGCAUGGAGUACUAAAUAUAGAUUAUUUAUAAAACUAAAAAUAUAGCUAACAAUAAUUUAAAAAACAACCCUUUUGAGUCUAAUUAUUCUAUGAUCAACCACUAAUUAAUAAAUAAAACAAAAAUAUUACCGUAUAUAUUAAACUUUAAACUGGUCAUACUCUCCCAUUCCCAAAUUCGUAUGAGAUGAUGUUAAAUUCGUGGACUAUGAAGUAGUGUCGUACCUUUGAACCCCCAUUGCCUUUGGUCGAACAUUCGAACCUAGGAUUAGGGCCUGUACAUGUAUGGAGUACUAUAUAUAGAUUAUUUAUGAAACUAAAAUAAUUUACGAUAUGAAUCUUUUAAAUCUGAUUAAUCUAUGAUUAGACACUAAUUACCAAAUAAAAUAAAAAUGUUACAGUACCUGUUAAACUUUAACAUUGUAACCAAACACCUCUUUAGGCCAGUGUCAAUGGAAGUUUCAUCUGAGUUUCAUUCACGUUAAAUAAGCUGCCACAUAGGUAUUUUAGAUGACAUGUCAGUGUAUUUAAGAAGAGAAAAAAGAAAUGAGUUUUAUCUAGAUAAAACUCUCUUUGCACGAUUACCAACUCUCUAUGAGUUUUGAAACUAAAUGUCUAUGAAACCAUGGAAUGAAACUCUCCAUUGAAAAUGGGUGUUUCAUUUUAUUUAGAAACAACGCUAUAAAAUUCUCCACUGAAGUUGGCCUUAGAAACAAAAAUCGUCCCCAACCUCAAUGCAGCAAGAAUGAAUGAUAUGAUACAGUGCUCCGACUCGUAUGAUUGUUUUGGAACAUUCGUAUUCAGCUACUAACCUAUUGGAUGGAAUUCAAUCAGGACGUUGCACAACGGCUGUUCGCUACAUUCAUGACCAGUCUGUUUACUUGCCAGCUAUUCAGCAAUUCAGCACUAUUUUUCUAUCACAACAAAUCAGCCACUUAACAUGGCUUAUCAGCCAAAAGCGCGACAUGAGUGGUUUGGCCGUCAAACAGAGCCGCCAAAAAGGAUUGCCCUGUUCAUCGAGUAUUCGAGUCAAGCAUAGUUGCCAAGUCUGUUACAGAAACCAGGGAUUAUAUCCCAAAAUCAGAGCAGCUAGACUGACACUGACCGAACAAAGAUCUCUAGCUCCAUGCCAUACUGCAGCACUUUGUGAUCAACACUGACUCUGAAAGUUAGCAGCAGCUCGCCAACCUUCACGAUUGGGCUUGGACCAGGCUCCUCCUUCCUCUGUACAGCCUACGCCGCCGGCCCCGGCCUACUGCCUACGAGACCGAGUACCGCCGGUUCCUCGACGACGAGCUGGACGACUUGGACUCCAGUGGCUUCGCCGACGACCGCGGGCUCUGCGAGCUCCCGGACGUGUCCGACGACCCCUUGCCCACGGCGGCUGUGGCGGCGGCCUCCCCAGGCAGCUUCGCGCUGCCGCCGACCCACAGCCUGUCGAAGAUCCUCCGUGACCGCGACGACAGCGACAGCCGGCUGCUUUGGUUGGCCACGCUACUGCUCCGCGCCACCAGGCGCCGCCCGUCGUCGCCGUCACCGCCCAGCUUCAGGCUCCCCAGCUGCCUCUUCAGCGCGCCAGGGGUCGGGGGCUCCGGCAGCGCACGGCCCUCCUUCCAGUGCUCGUGGUCGUCCUCCUCUUCCUCCUCCGCCAGGCGCGCCAUGCACCGCGCCACGCUGACGUUGGGCGUGGCGGCGGCGGCGGCUCCCGCGGCACGCAGCUGCUCGAAGAAGAGCACCUGGACCACCACCCUCAGCGGGAGACGGUCGUUCUGCGCCGCGUGGAUGCAUGCCCCCUUGGACAGCUUCUUUACGUCCAUCAGGCUCGAGAUCUUCCUCUUCUCCAUCUUGGGUAGCCCGGGAUGCAACUGAACGUCAUUCACAAGGCAAACAAUUUCACCUAAGUAUCUCAGUUUUCAAACAAAGUGGCAACUCCAUAUGAAGAAUUAUACUGUAACAAAUGGUUGCUGUGAAACAUACCUUCAGAAAUACGUCAAUAGCAGUGUACAAUCCAUCAUGUGUUGGUCUGGCUGUUUCAGGCAUGGAAGUCACCAAAUCCACGAAGCUUGAAACGGACAGAUUUGGAUCAGAGGCAACUUCAGCUAUGUACCUGUCCACCAGCUUGCACAGUGCUAGCAAAGAUUCACUGUCCACAUUCGUCUCAAACAUCUCCUGGUCAAGGUUGUUGAGGAAAAUCCCAUCUUGAGCUACCCCGGCGUGGCUCAUGUACCUGCUGAUGAGUGUCUGAACUAGCUGAACAUCAUAAACGGUCUGUGCAGGAGGCUUGGAAGGGAUCAGAAGAUCAUUGACUGAAGCCUUGUGGAGCUGCAACACAAUCCUGUCCACGAGUUCUUCCUUCAGGAGCUCUCCAGCACCAAUUAGGACAGUGACUUUCAGCAGCUUCAGGAAGAAACAGCAUGAGAUCCCUGAAGAUCCCUUGUCCGAGGGCAAAAGCCAGACGAUGGUUUCAAGCAGAUGCUUGUAUGCUUCAGAGUAGGCGUCCUCUGCCAGCAUGUCACAACAUUCAGGAAGCCAUCUAGCAGCAUAUGCCUUCAGCGCUUCUCCGACGACAUCAGAGGGGAUCCUCCCCCUUGACUUAACUGCAACCAUGACACGCCUAUAGAGGUCCACAUCAAGUUCACACAGAUCUUCAACCCACCAAUCCUUAGGAACCGCCUGCGAGCUUUUGCGAGCUUCAACUAUCUCAUCAGAGGAUGCAGAUUUCCUGUUGUAGGUGUAUGACCACAUAACGUUUGAUGGAUUAACGGUAGCUUUGGUAGCAAUGGAAUCUAUGCAUCUGCCGACCAACUUAAGCUCCUCUGACCAUGGCAAUAAUGCAUCGGUGGUCUGUAGUGCUAUGAUUGAGUCCUUCCAGCUCCUGAAGAUGCCAGAAUUCAGGAACACCUCAAUCUUAAAUAUCAGGUUGCUCUUCUCAACAUCCUCGGUCAUCCCAAGGUACUCUGCCGCACACCUUGCGGCGACUACAUUGUAUGCGUUGAGGGUCACCACCAUGCCGUAGCAGAACUUUGCACAGAUCUCAAAGGUUUUCACACCACCAGGAAUGUCUUGUAUGACAACUUCAUCAGUGCCAUUCUGACUAGCCUCUAUUAUCAGCCUUUGUAACAGACUACUCUUGCAAAGAAGAGGGAACUGCAAACAGACAGCAGAGCGACCAAACUUUCAGAGACUAAUCUACUUCGUACAAAACUCUUACAGCGAAAUGGCCAUAUAAUUGGACAGUAGACAUUUCUAGAUUUCCUGUAGCAUUAUUAUCUGUCAAUAUAUUGAACAAGAGGACAUUUCUUAAUUGCAUGGUACGUGCAUUGCUGUCACCUGGCAGAAUGAAAGGUGCUUGUGGGAAUUGAAGCAUGAUCUAAAGAAAACCGUGGGAAAGAUUCCGAAAGCAACAAACAUCCAAAUUACAAGUGGCGCCUGACAAAAGAUGUUACUAUUGCAGCAUCUUCUAGUGUGCUGAUAGCUGUAUGUUGGCGGAUCCAUUGUUUUAAUUCUCAUCAAGUACACAAGUAGCUUUGGGCGAAACAAUCAGCGAUUUAACCUACUUAGGUUCAUAACUUAAGUAAAAUGGUACGGGAUUACCUUGUGCAGAUAGAACCUUGCAUCCUCAACAUGGAUGACGAUAUCUGACGGAAGGUCUGACAGCACAUAUCUGCAUGAGAAUAUGGAGAUUGACAUGGUCAACAUAACAUGAUUGCUAAUGUGCUAAUGACCAUUCAUUAAAGAAAACAUUCAUAAGAAGAGAGUAUAGCAUAUAUGAAAAAAAAAACACAGAAAUAACAUCUACUAGUUAGCACAACACAACGGGUACAACUUUCAGAGCAUGUACAUGUACAGUAUUCCAGUUUUUUUUCCUUCAAAAUUUUAUUGCACUUGUUCUCUGUUGAAGUGAAGUACUGUAGAUCUGAUUUAAACAGAGACAGUCAUGGAAGUACCCGGUUUUGUUUUUAGAAAUGGAGACAGUCAUUGAAGUACACAAAUAUAUAAUAGAGAUAUAUAUUUUUUAAAAAAUAGAUCUGUUCUCAAGCUGCCUGUUCAUGUUCAGUCAAAGCAUACUCAUACAAGCACAGAACAGGGGGAAAAAAGAAACAGGGAUGGUGGGUGGAGGGGGCCUUUAAACAAAAAUGGAAUGAAAGGAUUUGCAGGUUAGGAGCAAGUCCAAGAUCUCCAUACAAGCUGAAGAACAUAUGGGGGAUCAAACCAUACUAUAGUGGAACCUUGUUUGUGGUCCUUAUCACAGCUAGUAAAAAAUGUGAUCUCAUGAUCCUCACCGCAACAACUACAACAACUGCUACGACUGACUUUUGUUUGCGCAGGCAAAAGGGACUUUUUGGUGGCGAAAAAAGGGUGGGCGCCCCUGGUCAAAUCAGCUGCCGUGCAAGGGAACCACGUAGCACACGAGCACUCAUGAAGAGCCGCGGCAGCCGGCAGGCGGCAGCCCCCACAAUAAUCACAGCACGGCACAGGUUCUGUACGAGUAAAAGACCGUAACCCAACGGAAAAGGCACUCUCUUUUUUCCCCCUCGACGAAUCAAGAACUCACAGACACGCGCCGAAAGAUUCAUGCUUGCAGAGCAAGCGUUUUGUUCUUCUCUCCUAGCUCGUUCACAAAACGCAGCAUUGCUUGUGCAGGUAAGAGAGAAGGGACCUAGGAAUCAACCAAGAAAACAUGGCAUUGCAUUGUUCUUGUUCCUACCGAAACAGAGAAGCGAGGAAACAUGGCAACUCUGUUCCAUUUUCUUCGCUGAAAGGAAAAUGAACGGGGUCGGGGGCAUAGCCAAGAACAUGCGUUUCCGUUCGAUCACGGCGGCAAUGGCGGAGGAGGAGGAGGAGGAGGAGGAGGAUGGGGGGGCGGGGGAUCACCUGGCGUCGCUGCCGUCGGUCUGGAAGGCGUCCGGCUUGGAGCCAAGCUUCAUGAACUUCAUGGCGGACGGGCCGGAAAUGCUCUGGCGCUCUGCCUGCUACAGCUACUACCUCACUCUCUUCUCUCCUCGGAGUGGAGUUGGAGUUGGAGUUGACGACAGCGUCUCUGCGGCUUCAGCUCGGCGUGUCCCUCCGCUUGCUUACAUUUCACGCCUCCUCCUGCUGCUGCCCCGGGCUCUCGUUUCUCUCGUUGCUGUGUGGAGGGAGCAGGCCAGGAGGGCCAGCAGGUCGUAGUCCCAAGAAACACGCACGGGGGCAGCCGAGGACAGAGGAGAGAGACGCCGCGGACCGAUGGUUUUGGUUUGGGCCUUGUUUAGUUCCUAGAAAAUUUUGCAAAAUUUUUCGCAUUCUCCGUCACAUCGAAUCUUUAGACGCAUGCAUGGAGUAUUAAAUAUAGACGAAAAUAAAAACUAAUUGUACAGUUUGGUCGAAAUUGACGAAACGAAUCUUUUGAGCCUAGUUAGUUCAUGAUUGGACAAUAUUUAUCAAAUACAAACGAAAGUGCUACAGUGUCGAUUUUGCAAAAUUUUUCGGAACUAAACAAGGCCUUGGUGAGGAGACGCGGCUGGCAUUUACUUGCCUCUUUACUACUGCUGCUGCUAGAGCUAGCCUCGCUCUCGGAGGCUCGGAGCACAGCACUUGAGCUGGGCUCGCUAUUCAUAUUUUUUAUCACAUCAAAUUUUAUGUCAUAUAUAUUGAGCACUAAAUAUAGAUAAAAAAUAAUUAAUUAUACAGUUUAUCUAUAUUGUGAGAUGAAUAUUUUGAGUUAAUUAGUCCAUGAUUAAACAAUAUUUGUUAAAUAUAAACGAAAGUGCUACUAUUUUUAUUUUGUAAAAAUUUUUAGAAGUAAAUAAGGCCCUAGGGACCGCACCCCUGCUUUUCAUUUUCUUUUCUUUUCUUUUCUUUUCUUUAUAUAUAAAAAUAGUUCUCUCUUUAAAUUUACUAAUAUUGAUAUUGAUUUAUUAUUUAAAUAUUAUUUAUUUACUAAAAGAUACUGCUAAAAUAGUGUCAAAGAACAAGGUUAUUUCUUUGUUUAGUUCAAAAAAAUUUGCAAAUUUUUUCAGAUUCCCAUCACAUCGAAUCUUUAGAUGCAUGCAUGGAGUAUUAAAUAUAGACGAAAAUAAAAAUUAAUUACACGGUUUGGUCGGAAUUGACGAGACGAAACUUUUAAGCCUAGUUAGUCUAUAAUUAGAUAAUAUUUAUCAAAUACAAACGAAAAUGCUACGACAUCGAUUUUCUAAAAAAAAUUUUGGAACUAAACAAGACCGUACUUUCGUAUGGAAUCCAGCUUUUUUCACCCCUUUGCAAUCGUAUGGGUGAAUGAAUCAAUGAGUAUUUACUUUUGUGCGCGGUUAAGAUCUUAUCCUGUUCGAAAGCUGGAGGGUGAAAAAUAAAGGAAAGGCAAAAAAACCACGUUCGGUUGACUAUGGUGACCAAAGUUGUUGUUUUUACGGCAUGUCAGAUGUCACGGUUGCUCAUCACAUCACAGGCGGAAAUGCACGAACAUUGACCCUUGAGUGCCAUCUUUAAGGAACCGGAUUGGGAGUUCACAGUGUGAUUGGCCUUCCAGUUCCGGUGGUAACCUCCCUCUCGGCGCAUAUAUCUAUGAUAAAGAAAAGCGAAUAAAAAAAUAAAUAAAUAAACUAUUUUGUACGGUUCUUAUUUCCUUGAGAAUGUCUGCAUGAGACUUUUAAUAAGUCCAAAGAUUUGUUCUAGGUGAUACGAGGUUGAACGAGCUUUAGAAAAAUGGGCAAAUAAGGGUACACAAAGGUAUGGAAUAAUAAAUAAAUAAAUAAACAAGUAAACAACUUUUCUUCCUGAGCAUUACCGUUAAAUAUUGUUCUCUUAUACGUUAGGGUGGGCUUUAAAUGGAGUACUAGUCCAGUUCAAACUAAAGACAUAGGAGUAUUUAGAGUCCGUUCGCUUGUCUCAUAAGUUAUACUUUUUCUGUCAGCCAACAAUGUUUUUCUCUCAUAAUAAAUCAGCGAAUAGUACUUUCAGCCACGCAAGAAUUUUAAUACUAGUCUUGUUCAUCACAUCAUAAUGCCCUUGUUCGUAUUCGUUGAUUUGUUAUGAAAGAAAAAUACUUCUAAAUAGCUCCUGAAAUAGUUUAAACAUUUUUUUAUCAUGGAAUAAUUUAAACAUUAACUUAGUAUUGGACGAUUUUCAUCUGGGUCCCCAAACUACGAAAUCGCACGUCUCACGUUUGGUUCUCUAAUGUAUUUUAGUGAUUUUAUCCAAGUCUAAAACACUCGCAACAAGGGUUAGAAGCCGACGUGGUCUAUAUGGACUUGAUUUAAGCACAAGACCCAUAAGCUCAGAGUGCCACGGUGCCCAGUGUGGCAGCGUCCACUUGUCACGGUUAGUGGCGUCGUCCGCGGUGGUGUGCAACCCGAGGUGCUCCUGUUGGUGCAUGGCCCCCAUCGUGUGUGGGUGAGCGCAAAAUUGGAUGACCGCAAACCAAGCCCAACCCCCCCCCCCCUCCCAUGUCUACCUCACCCCGCUUGGCAGCGUAAUCAGAUGCCAUUGCCGCCUACAUGAUCGGGUCGUAUGCCGUGGGCGCCGUGAUCGUGAGCGGGGGUGAGCCGGCGGUCGCACACAUGAGCUUAAAUGAGGGAGUUAUGUGUUUAAAUCAUAUCCACGUGGAUGACCAUAUCAACUUCUAACCCUCCUUUUGUGUAUUUUAGACCUGAAUGAGAUCACUUAAAUACAUUAGAGAUUCAGACGUACAAUAUCGUAGUUUGAAAACCCAAAUGAAAACCACGUAAUACUUUAAGGACCGGCCAUACAAUUUACUCUAAAUAAAAUACUAAUAUUCAUGAUACAAAAUAAGUAUCAUUAGAUUAGCUAUAAAAUAUAUUUUCAUAUUAAAUUUUUUUAAAGAUAUAAUUUCUAAUACUAUUUAAUAUAAAUUUUGUCAAAUUUGAGUUUAUUUGAUUCGUACAGAUCGUAUAGUUAUAUUCUUUUCUAAACGGAGGGAUGAACAUAGAAAAAUAACAUACUUUUACAAAAUCAAUUAUUUUUGUUGCAAAAUUCCAGCUUGACGCACAGAAUGGUCAACAUACCGGAAGCGCGCACGGCACGGGAGUCGGGAGGUCCGAGCCCUCGGGUGUCCGGUGUCUCCGGUCCCUACUGCUAGUCUACUCGGCGGGCACAGCCUCGGCACGCGGCGGGCACCACUGUCGGCGUCCAGCAACCAGCGCAAACACUAGUAGUAGGAUCCUAUGCGAGGCAAUGCAGUUGUCGCCCCGCAUGUGGCCGUGGCCGGUCACCUAGCCGUGCUGUGUGAGGCAGUAGAGCCUCUGUGCAAGGCUGCGGCCGCUGUUGCACGCACAGUGGUUGCUGUUGAUGCAAAGGCCAGAGCUCAGGGCUAGCAAAAAAAAAAAAGCUGCCAGUUUUGCUUGGGAAUUGGGGUUCGAGCUGCACUGCCCGGCUGCCCGCCUGCUGGGUGGAGGAAGUCACGAUUCAGGGCGGGGCCGCCGCAACGGCCAUGCUCGGCUCGACUGGGCUGGGCUGGCUAGCUCAGUGAGUGCUCAGUCACGAGAGGAGAGCGCGACGGGGCGGCGCAUCGUGGCGUUGCAUGCAUGCAGAAUGCAGAUUGCAGUGUCUGCUUGGUUUUUUUUUUUUUUUUGGCUCUCCACAUCCCGAGCAGGCGAGAACGAUAACAGUGCAUUCGUGCUGUAUGCACCAUCAGUACGAGCUGUAUGCAUGCUUUUCACCGGUGAGCGACAACUAAUGGCAUUCGUGGCUAAUGGCAUUCUCGACCACGACCAUGGGUUUUGUCAGUUCAAAAGAACGGAACAAUGGACUUUGCAUUCAUUGAUUCAGCAGACGGCGAUGCUUUACUAGGGCUGUGCUAGCUUUGGUGAUGUUUGAGCAAGUCAAACAAGCCACCAGCCGGCCGGACGGGACUAACGAAAACGAAGUAGAAAGCGGGGUGUCCUCCGCAGUGGGGGGCUCGCCGAAUCUCUUUUCGGAUCACGCAAUUGUUGCCACAAUUCUACCAGUAAUCAUGGAGCUCAUGGUGUGCGGUGUGCUAGCUUGUGCAGCAUGCAUGCAGCCAGCCUUGGAGGACCGCCGCGCGUGCCUCAACCGUAUUUACGUCCAAAAUCCAAAAACUUUUCAAGAUUUUUCGUCACAUCGAAUCUUUAUACACAUGCAUAGAAUAUUAAAUAUAAACAAAAAUAAAAACUAAUUGCACCGUUUAGUCGAAAUUGACGAGACGAAUUUUUGAGACUAGUUAGUUCAUAAUUGGACAAUAAUUACCACAAACAAACGAAAGUGUUACAGUAUCGCGAAAAAUUUAGAAGUAACUAAACAAGGCCCCAUUCAUCCAUUGCAUGUUACUAGUCCGUACUCCUAGUACUAUUUCCAUCCAUUCAUCCUAAGGUUUUGUGCGCAUAUGCGUGCAACCGUGCAUGAUGCCUCUUGUCCAAUGUGCCAAAACACCCGUAUCCCGUGUCCGUGUUGGAAAAGAUCCAUCCAUGACGACCGAUAUAUACUCUUUUUUUUCCAACACAAUAUGAUAGACCUGACUGUUCACAUAUAUUCACGCGAACUUAUUACCUAUGAGCUCAUUCAAGGGACUAUAGCAAGCAAAGUAAAUUAAAUUCGAGAGACUAAGGCUUUGUUUUAGUUCUUAUCUAAAAACUUUUUAUCCUAUCCUAUUAAAUAUUUGGACACGUAUAAAUAUAUAAAAAAUUACUAAUUGCAUGGUUUGCAUGUAUUUUGUGAGACGAAUCUUUUAAACCUAUUAAUUAGUUUAUGAUUGACACUAAUUGCUAUAGUUACACAUGUGCUAUAGUACAAAAAAACUUUCUUUUCGUGACUAAACAAAGUCUAAGCAAGCAUGUUAACGUACAAAAUCAUCACAAAUGUUUUCAUGUCUAUCGAUGGACAUAUUGCUUACCAUAAAUAUAGUUCGUGGAGGAUACGUAUAACUUAUUUGGCCAACCUUCCUCUUUAGCCGAUGCAUAAAGCUCAAUAUGAUAUCAAGACUAGAGUUGUUGAGUUUAAGUCAUGGCGAGUACAAUUAAAUGAAAAAAUUGUAGCUAACUUCUAAUCUCAUGUUUCAGCCCAAAAGAAGCAUGAGAAUUGUCACUCAUUCUCUCAUCAGCUUGAGUUUUCAGACAAACCGGGUAUGGGCAUGCAAACAUCCCAAAAAUCACUUGCUACAAAGCUAAUUUUGAUCUGCUAGGAUUUUGAUCUUGCUACAAAGCUAAUAUUUAGAACGAUUUCUAGAGACGGUGAUGGUUGGGAAUUCGUAUUGUUAGAGGUGGUGGGUGUUUUCACCCAUCUCCAAGAAUAGAGGGUAUUUUUAAGGGUGGCCGAAAACAUCAAUGAUCUCUUAAAACACCAAUAUCUGUUAACGUAAAACAAAAAUAUUGACGUGUUGCAUGUCCAAUGGAGUGUAGUAGAGCCAUUUCUAAGGGAUUUGCGAUGAAGUUCAUGAUUAACGACCGGAUAGGAUAAAAAAAGCAUUCGAUUUGGAAGCAAAAACAAAUCGCGUCAAACACGUACGUACGAGCAGCGGUCAUCACCCUAUAGAUUUUGCCGAUCUUUUGCUGAUAUAAUACCGACAAUGCAUGCAGCAGCUACCUUAGCUAGCAUCUAAAUACGGCCAGUUGGCCCCAUGUAUAUAUACGUACCACCACCACCACGCAUGUACGACGUACGAUUCCUCCUCUCAAACUAUUCUAAAUUAUGUUGAAAAGAUGUUAUAUAGUAUAAACAAUAGAAAAAUGCAUCAAUCUAGCUCCACUGGGUUCUCCGUGAACAAGCAUGAUUAGUUCGCAUCCAACAGCGCGCGCCGUGUCGACGAUGGCAGUGGUGCACCUAUGUGCUGCUAGGCUUUAAACAUUUAACAGCAGCUAGGAGUAGGAGCACUACUGCUACUAGUGGUGGCGGCAGCUAAUCACCAGAUAUAAUUGUAAAUUUCCGGGCUAAACCUAGAUUAGUGCUGGGUAAUCUCUAGACUAAUUAACCAGUUGGAAGAAUCCAUCGAGCUAGUAGCUCGUGUGAUCAUUGCCAUCUCAUCACAUAUUCUUUCAUUCCUUGUUUCUGAUGAUCCAUGAUUAGCGCCUGACGAAUGAUUGCCGCUGCUACAGAGGGAGGGGACCAUGCAUCACCAUCACUAGUACUAGCUUAAUCACUAGAGGCAUGCGGGUGGGUAUGGUUAUGUUAUGUUAAUGUAUGUGGCGACAUGGUCCUCACCUCGGCCGUUAAACAGUCAAACAUGGGAGAUUAGGGUCUGGACCACGGAGGAGGAUGGUGGCCAAGUGCAGAGCAAGAGCUUUCCUGUCUCCUGCUCCUUUAGAUAAAAGGGGUGCCAAUGUGGCUUUGUCUUUGUGGAUGCAGAUCAGGGCUGGGCUGACCCGGGGUACUGCCUCUGGCCUACCUAUGUGUACCUUGUCGGUUAGUGUGGUCUCCAAAACUUUACAUGCUUUUCCUCCUGGUUAUUGAGUCAACUUGGUACGGUUAGAUUUAUAAUUAAAAACAAAAAAAGUAUAUGUGUAUAUGAACUCAUUACUUUGUAUAAACUAAAAAAAAAAGAUAAAAACAAAGUAACACAAUAUGCUACUCCCUCCAUCCAAAUUUAUAAGUCAUUCCAAGAAUCUUGCAGAGUCAAAACAUCUUAAGUUUGACCACCAUUAUAAAAAAAUAGAAAGAUUUAUGAUAUCAAAUAAAUAUUACUAUGAAAAUAUAGCUAAUGAAGAACCUAAUGAUACUUAGUUGGUAUCAUAAAUGUUAUUAUGAUAUUAUAUAAAUUUGAUCAAAGUUGAGAUGCUUUAACUCUCUAAGAUUCUUGGAAUGACUUAUAAUUUGGGAUGGAGUGAGUAGUAUAGAAAACUAUGUAAGCAUGGACACAUAGUGCAUCAUAAAAAAAGUAUAUGAACUUAGAUCUUCAUAAAGAACUGAAAGUGCAUCUAGCCCUUUGUGGGUUUUGGUGAAUUGAAUGACAACAUGAUUAAAGGUCUAAUAAGUUUGCUAAGUGUUGAACAGGAUAUUGAGUCUACUGCACAUACUUGUGGAUUGUGUAUUAACAAGUAUGUUCAAGGCUCAACAAGCAGGCAAACUUGAUGAUAUGCCACAUAGUGUUGAAAUGAAGGCCAAAUUGUGUAUUGUUGUAUUAAAGGAUUAUGGAAACAAUCUAGGUCAAGCAAAAGACAACAAUGCAAAUAAAAUCUAUGGAAUGACUUAUAUGCUGUGGGAUAUCAUAACAUCAUGAGAAAGCAAGCAUAUUUGACAAAUGGCAAAAGAGACAUGAGUUGAUGUUCUUGGAUUGGUGUCUACAAUGGCUUGCUUUUCAUGAACAAGAAAAGCUUGAUAGUGAACUAGGUUUGAUCAAGCUAGAAGUAUGAAGAUCAAUAUUGAAGUGAGUAUUGAGUGUCAAGCCAAAAUAGAGAGGAUAUAAGGAACUGUGAAUUGGCUUGAUCAUAUUGAUGUUGAUCCAUAUAUGUCUCUAUGUGAGUCAAACUGAAGCUUGAUUAAUCUCAAUAUUUAUAUCUAGAAGAUAUUCAAGCAAGGAUCACAAUAUUGAAGAAAUGGUUAUUCAAUGGAUGCUUAAUGUGAUAUGACUUGAGUAUGGCUUGAUAAGGUGAAGAUAGCAAGGAAAGGGCUUCGAGGGACUAAGCGGAGGUGAAGGGAUAAGCGACGGCUUAAGGACCGAGGUACCAUGGCUAAGGUGAAGAAGAGAGUACUUGCAUUGAGUCGAGGAACUAAUCAAGCUAUGAGGAGUCAUAUUGUGUUGAGGAUCAAAUCUUUAGUAGAAGUGACUUGAAGCCAUGGAGGUGAACUCAUAUGUGUUGAAUUGGGUCAAGUCACAUGCUCAAGGUGUGUUUGCUCAAGAAAAGGAGACAAAGUUGAUUGCAACCCUUUAUGGAGUAAUAUUGAGAAGAAAUGGCAUAUGAAGACAUUGAAGACUCAAGUGAUCAAAUUAGUUAUAUAUUCUCUUGUUCUUGAGUAUAGGUAUGCCGUACUAUCAAGGGGGAUGCAAUACGAAUGAUAGACAAGUCUCAAGUGCUCAAACUAACCGAACCCAAGUGCUAACAUGAGAGAAAACACUUAGCACUGCACCUGCACAAGUUGAUCUUGGAGCUUGUUCUCUGCAGGGUUAGAUAGCCCUCGAAAUAAGCUUUCCGAAAAGUCCAAGAUCACUGUAAACGGAGUUCGGAGUAAAAAGUUAUGGCUUUUUCCGUAAGGUGACCUGUGCUGCCGCACUUGUACAGUCACAACGGCUAGUUUUCGAAUCCUAACGACUAGUUUGAGUGGAAUGAGUAUAUAUACCCAUCCCACUGCUUCUGGUCGUGCUGCUGAUGCUCCAGACUUUCCCAACCUUUGCAAAGCCUCUCCCCAACCCUCUCUUUGUGGGAGUGAAGUGCUUAGUGCACAAUUAAGUGUUGGGGCUGUGUGAUUAAGUGUUAGAGAGCAUAUUAGAGCAAUCCUAACCUUGAGCACUUGCUGAGCUUCGUCGAUCUUUGUUGUGCAUUUGUUACUCUUGGAGGUAAAUCCUCCUAGACGGCUAGGCGUCGUCCGGCGAGCUCCCGUGCUUGUGGUGAGCAGCGGGACAGUUUGUAAGACUCUCUUGCAGCUAGUGAAAUCACCCCUCAUCUCAAGAGUUCAUUCUCUUGAUUUGAGAACGAGGGCAAGGCAAGCCUUGGUGGCGAGCCAAUCCUUUUGUGGAUACCUCAAUAACGUGGACUUAGGCAAGCCUUGGUGGCGAGCUGAACCACGGGAUAAACACCGUGUCAUAUUGUGCUUGUUUUACAUUCUUGCAAGUUUAUAUUGUUGUUGAGGUGCUUGUAAGGUUUGUGGCCGAUCUACUUGGUGGUACUUGUUCUGCUGCGUAUAACUACUAUUCAGUGACUAACAUACUUGCAGGAAGCUGGGAAAUUUACCUGAUCUAAAUUUCCUUGGUUGGAUUUUGAAUUGUACUAAGUUCCUCCUGCGUAGGCCGGCAGUGCCGCCCUCCAAGGCCGGCAGUGCCGCCCUCUAAUCUGAUAGUGUUUUGAGUUGAAACUUUGCAGAUUUGUCAUUGGAUACCUCUAGUACUUCAUCACCAAGUUUGGGCUCAUUUGGACACACGGUUGCAGGAAGGCAGUGCCGCCCUCAAAGGGAGGCAGUGCCGCCCUGAGUUUUAAUUUCAGUUUGAGCAGAAUUUUUUUGGCAGGCCUAUUCACCCCCCCCCUCUAGGCCUCUUCGGUGACAUCAAGGUCCUUUCAAUUGGUAUCACAGCUAGGUUCUCAAUUUCGGGCUUAACCGCCUUGAGAGACGAUGUCGACAAGUAAGGAGGUAUCUCUAGAACUUUUACUUUUAGAUGGCUCAAAUUAUACAUCUUGGUCUGCUUGUAUGCUUGAUUUUUUUAGGGCCAUGGGUCCUCAAAUAGAGCAGAUUAUAGAUGUAUGUAUUUCACCUCCUACUGAUAAUUUGGACUAUCUAUCUAGAGAGGAAGUGAAAUGCUUACAAUACAAUGCUCAAGCUACUAAUGUCUUAUUUAGUGCUUUGAGUGAAGAUGUUCUUGAUGUCAUCAUAUUUGGAGAUGGUGAACCACUUGAUGAUGCUCAUAUCAUUUGGACCACGCUCAAAGAAAGAUAUGGCAGCUCCAAAUGUGAUGAGAAGUUGCUCUCAUUGGAGGAACCACUUGAGAGGUGCUCAACUUCACCGACAAAUGAUGAGCCUCAAGUGAUUCUCUCAAAAGGCCUAAUGGAUCAUACCACAUCCACUUCCUUGCCAACACAUGACUUAAUUGAUGGUAAUGAAAUGGUUGGUGAGAACAAUGUUUUUACAUGUGGUACUUCUACUUCCUCUAGUUUUUGUUGUUCUAACAUUUUGAAGGAAGGAGAAGCUUGUGAUUGGUGGAGGCCAAACGAUGAAUCCACCUCACCUACAAGCUCAACUCUCCAUGACACUUCUCCUAUGUGUCUCAUGGCAAAAGGUGAGAAGGUAAAAUCAAAAGCCAAACCUCCUUCACCUCCUAGUGACAUCUCUAGCAGUGAUCUUAGUGAUAGAUCUAGUGAUGAUGAAUCUAGUGAUGAAGAGAUUGAUGACAUAAUUAAAAAUUUGGAUCCUAAGACCAAACUCUUCAUCUCUAAACUAAUGGAGGAUUUAGAGAGCAUUCAAGCUGAACUAGCAACUAGAGAUGAUGAUCUUAUUGCACAAGAAAAUAUUUAUAUUGCUAGUAAGGAAGCUCUUGCAUUAGAGAGAAGUGAGGUGGCCUCCUUGCACAAGGCUUUGGCUAAAGAGCAAGAUGACCAUGCUCUCACAAGGAAGGCAAAUAUUGCACUCAAUCAAAAGUAUUGUGACUUAGAUGAAAAGCACAAAGAGCUUGAGCUGCAAUAUAAUCUUCUUUGGGAGAGCACCUCACAUCCCUCUAAGGCAAAGGAUGUUUCUACUCCCUCCACUAGCCAAGGUUGUGGAAAAUGCUUUAAUCUUGAUUUGAAUAUUUAUGCCACUAACCUUGCUAAUAUGGAGGUCAUGAGAAAGGAGAUUGCUAGGCUCAAUGAAAUCAUAGCAGCAGGGUGCAUGAAUGACAAAACUCAAUAUGCUGGCAAGAAAAUUGUGAAUGGCCUUAAAUGUGUGCAGUUUGAGAGGAGGGAGCAGUUUGGUACAGUUCAGCCUGCACAGACUGCGGCAGUGCCGCACCCCAAGGGCGGCAGUGCCGCGCCCCGCAAAAAUGGGAAGGCUACCAAUCUGUCUCCUGAUCAAACUAAGCUCAUAAUGAAAAAGUCAAGACAGAACAACAAAGCUCCCAAAGCCAUCAAGGUGCAGCAUCAACCAAAGAAGACUCUCAUCACUUGCUUCAAGUGCAAGAAAGAGGGUCACCAUGUGAAGGGCUGCACCUUAAAGAAAGAAGAGAAGAGCAUGAGCAAGAUUCAAGAGAAGAAGAAGAUGGCUCAUGUCAAGUCCUCUGGUAAGGGACAUAAUGAUUUUAUGUGUUCCAACAAAGUUGAUGACCAAGCCACACUUCCAAAGAACAAGACAAGAAGAAGCAAGAGGAAGUGUUAUGAAUGCAAAGAGAAGGGACAUGAAAUUGACUCAUGUCCCAACAAGAAAAGUAAAGGUUUGUCAUCAUCAACAAAGAGGCUCUUCAGCAAGGUAGCAAGCAAAAUGCAAGAAAAGAAGGCUAACAAGAACAAGAGCCGCCUAUGCUACACUUGUAGAGGAAAGGGACACCUAAGCAUAGAUUGUCCCAUGGGUAACACUCACAAGCCCAACUCAUCAAUUGAUUCAAAUAUGCUUAGGAGGCCUAAAAAUGACAUUUGUGCUAGAAAGGUGAUUGGUUCACCAAGUGCUAGCACAAAGGCCAUUUGGGUGCCUAAGUCUCUUGUGAUUAACCAUGAUGGACCCAACAUAGUUUGGGUACCAAAUUGUGCUUGAUGAGUGUUGUAGGUACUUGAAGGUGAUAUGAUGCUUCGGGGUGCUUGAGCAAGUUGAUUGAAAAUAUUCACUCAAGCUAUCAAUCUAUUUAUAUUGUUUCUUCUUAUAUGGUUGACCCGAAGAUAAAUUAAUAGAAUUAUUUCAGACUUCAUAUUCACCUUGUUAACUAGUACCUAACCCUUGCUAGCUAGCCAUAUGACUUGUGUAGUCUCUAGUAGUUCACAAAUAUAUGUGUGUUUGUGAAUUAUCAAGAAUGGCUAGAGUAUUUCAAGUUAAACAAAUCAUUUGCCAUAUGAUGCUUUUAAUGGCUCUCUCUAGUAGAGCAAGAUCUUAUUUAUGUUGUAGGUAAUGAGGAAUCACCUUAUGAGGAAAUCAAGAAAAUGACCACGGGUGAUAUGAGACCAAAAGAGUCCAAGUUGCACUGAUAAGGAUAUCCUCAAGCUGUUGCUGCACCUAAUUCCGCUGACACCUCUGAUGCGGUAGUGCCGCCCCUCAGAGCGGCAGUGCCGCCCCUAUAUAGAUAGCAGCAGCUGACAUCAGUCCAAGACAUGGAUGAAGCCUACAACAUGAUGAUGAGCAAAGUGAAAAUGAUGAGACCACCUCAUCCAUUAUAUCUCAAGAAGGGUGGUAACAACAAUAUCUCAAGUGCAAUUAUUUAAAACUAAACUCCUUUGUGUCUUGUGUAGUCACUUAGGAUAAAUGAAGCACUUGGAGAUAUUCAUUGGUUGCUGGUCAUGAAAGAAAAGUAUGAUUGGAAUUGAAUAGAUCAUCCACACCAAGCAACAUAGAUGACUUUAAGGAGUUUCCUCUGUGGACCUCAAACCAAGAAUUUCAAGAAAGCUCAAGUAGAGGCACUUAUUAUUUACAAUUCAAGAACUCUCUACUUGAUGGAAUCUAGUCAUAUGGUAGAUUGCCAAAAUUCUCAUUUUCAUCUUAAGGGCAUCUAUAUGCUGUAAUGGUUUGUAAGUAUCUCUUGGCAUAUUUCAAUUUGAUUACACUAUUUUUGCCACGACCUAGACAUAGAGUGAAAAUCCCAAGUUCUUGAAUGAAUAAAAGUGUUAUAUGAGAAAUUCAAAUGCUUAGAGCACUUAUCAAAAGGGAAUUUACUCUAUGACUAGAGUUGUGAGACUAACCAUUUCUCUAAGUGAUUUAUGUAGUCUCACUAAAUGAGAAUGUGUUUCUCAAAUGGAGUGUGCUGUUAUAUGAAGAUCAUUAUUCCAAAACCAUGUGAUGUAUUCUCUCUAGCUAUUUUGGAAUUGAUUCAUCUAUGAUUAGCCACUCACCAUAAUAUGGCUUAAAUCUGCCCUUUGGACUUAAUUGACCAACCAUGCACAUUCACACUUUUAUUUCUACUCAAAGAGUGUGCAUGAGACAUCAAGGGAGAUUUAGUCCAUAUUGUGAGGUUUCUCUAUUUAGUGACCCACUUGCCAUCCACAUAUAAAGGGUAACUAAGUGAGAAACUAGUGCUUGUGUUUCUAAUACCCUCUUGAGCUUGAACUUGUAUAGGAAAUCAAUAAGAGGUUAUGAUUGACUUAAUUGAACAAUUCACAAGCUUGAAGGUUACUCUUCACCUAAAGUAAGAUAUUGCUGCUAGAGGUCAUAUUGAUCAAAAAUCUGAAUUUGAAUGAAAUCAAGUUUGAGGUUAAAUUGGAUGAGCUAUAUUAGAAGAAUUCACAAGAUGACAAGUACUGAUCAGAGGACUGAAUGGAAAUUGCAUCUUCUGCGUAUUCUCAACCAAUUCCACCUCAAGACUGGACAAGAAGCAAAGAAGAAUUGUGAAAUAUCAAAUCUGUCCAGAAAUUUGAAAAUCUGAAUUGGCUGCCUUCAAGCAUGGAUUUGAAAGUCCAAACACUGAUGAAUUGACCUAAAACGUUGUGAGCUUGACACACAUAUCUAAUACUUGUUGCUUUACAGUUUGCAUGAAGAUUGGUUAAGAAGAAAAUCAGUUUUGAGUUGAAUUCUGUCAGCUUCAGCAUUGCAGAUUCAGACCAUAGCAGUUUUAGUAGAAAAAUUCUUUGACUGAUUAAAUGGGAUCCAAAUGAGCUGAAAUUUAUAUAGUAGUUAAAGGACUCAUAGAUGAAGACCUCUACCAAAUUUCAUGCAUAUUGGGCUAGUAGUCUGAGAGAUAUGAAAUUUUCUCUGAGGAUGACAGAAUCUGAAAACUAGCAGUUUGGAAUUGGAUUGCAGUAUAACAACAAGAUUCAGUUGGCUCUCAAGUUGGUCAUGAAAAAUUUAUUGAAAAUGAGCAGCAUCAGUUUGGAUAAAGAAGUUUCAUUGGAAUAAGAGAACUCAGAGAAGGAUCCAAACAAAUUGCAAUCAGAUUACAAGCAGUAGCAAAUAAUUGCAAUUAGUUGUUAGAAGAAUUCAAAUGCAGUCUUUCAGAAACAGCAGCUAAGAUCAGUUGAAACCUGAUGAAACUAGUUGGCUUCAGCAGUGACAAGUAGCAAACGUAAGUUACAAUCAGAUGGUACUAGCUGAAAUCAAUUGGAAGCAACUGAAACUAAUUAGAUUACAGCAGCCUGAAGGAGUUUGAAACCAGUUGGAAUGCAGUGUAAACUUCUCCCUUGACCUCAUGGUAUUGAUAUGCAUGAGUGUACUCUGUGUACUCUUGUAUGCACACAUUAAGGGGGAGUUUAGACUAUAUCUUGUGAGACUAUUGGUUUCUUUCAAGUGUAUGCUGUGCAGUCCCACACAAUGGAAAAAGGAAGAUGGAUGAUUCCAAUGGAUUCUCUUAGUGAUUCACAAUUAUUCUAGGAUCUUGGUUUUUAUAAACCAGAUGCUCCCAGUUUAAUGUCGAAUGCCCCAAUCCUUAGUGGAACUGAAUUUGAAUGAGUUGGAGAAAAUAACUGAAGAAUGAGCUUUCAUGGCUAUUUCUCCUCUCUAGAGCUCUCAAGUGUUCACGACUCAUCUCAUUGAUUACCCAGGAUCUUGUCAACAAAGAGUGGUAACUCCUAGUUCAUAAUUUACAAAUUUCAUGAAUUUUACCUUUUGCUCUCUAUGUGGGUUGCCUUAGGUAAAGAAAGAACUAGGAACAUAAUUUGUAUCUUGGAUGAUCAUAAGAGCUCUAAUUCACCACAUGUCAUCAAUUGAGAAAUAUAUGUCUAUCCAAAUCAUUGGAGUCUCACUUAUGAUGGUCAUAUCAAUGAAAAUUUGUGUGGUGAUCUAUCUACCUUGGUGGUGGUAUGUUUCCUUGGCAUAAUUUGAAUUAUUGCAAAUUUAUGAUGCCUUGACCAAGAUAUAGGAUGAACUCCUCUUGACUCUUAAACCGACUCAAAUGCACUUCACAAGUAAUUCAAGUACUUGCUGCAUAUAUUAAGGGGGAGUCUAUUCUAUGUCUUGUGUCUUUGAGACUAACCUUUUCUUCGAGUGAAUUUGUGUAGUCUCUUGGUGAGAAUGAGUUUCUCAUGGGUAUGCUACAUUAACUCAAUCCAAAUGGGUAAAGUUAUCUCUCAUAUUUACUUGGAUUACAAUUUUACCACUUAAGUAGCUACUCUCCAUAAUAUAGCUUAAAUUCCCUUAUUUGGACUUAAUUGACCAAAAGUGCAUAUGUUCUUGCCUUCCACACAUAUAUGUAUGCACUAUCAAAAAGGGGAAAUUUAGUCUAUGUUAUGAGUUUUGCAAUUAGUGACUUACAUACCUUCCACAUACAAAAGGUCACUAGUUGUGAAACUCUAGCUUGUGCAAUUUGAUGCUAUCUCUUGUAUUGUGAGCAUUACCUAGGUGACAAUAUGAGAUAUGAGCAUUCAUUCCAAUUGGCAUCAACUUUUGAAGAUUCCUUCAAUUGGUGUCAAAAUUGUGAAGAUCAUAUUUCAAUUGGUAUUGAUGGAUAAUCUUUCAACCUCUCAUAUCAAGAAAUAUGUCUUCAAUUGGUAUCUCAAAAUGACAACAAGAGUUGGCAAUGGACUUUCAAUUGAAAUCAAGUACAAGCAUGUGGUAUCUCCUAUGAUCAAGAGAGAUGGGCACAAAUGAAGUCCUUUUGCAUUUUGCCCAGCCCAUCAAAGCACUAAAUUCAUACUAUCAUGAUCAUAGUGGAGAUUAUGAGGUUUAGAACAAAGGUAUAUCGCUCCAUGAACUCUUGUAUUACCUUUAUGCAUCUAGGACCUUACAUGCUAGUGUGUGCAUGUGUAUGCAAUAUUUGAGCCACACCAUGAGUUUGUUCUUAUGGUGACGAUUAGAGAAAGAUUUAGAUAUUUGGUUGAUACCUCUGUGGUGAUAAAGUGAGUUUAUCUCAUGUUAAAACUAUCAUCUAAGUGAGGUAUGAGCUAAAUAUGCUAACUUCUCAAGAAUCUUGACUUAAGGUGUUGCAUACUUGGUUUGGUAGAAAACUUAGGAGAGAAAUCCUAUAUGCUAAACUUUUACCUACCUCUUGCCCUCAUUUUUCUACCAUUAUUUCUUCCUUUCGGUUGAGAGAUCCUUUUUGGAGAUUAAUGCCAAAGGGGGAGAAAUAUUGGGAGAGAGUGUAAGGGAGGAGAGAUUGAUAUGUGGAUUGAAAGGGGUAAAGGAGAGGCAUAUAAGAUUUUUCAAAUUUUGUGUGGUGUGUGCAAGGAUAGUUUAUGCUCUUGAUAAGGAUUUUUUAUGUUAGUGUGAAUUGUUCUUGCCCUGAGUGGUGGUUGCCUUUAUUUCUGUGCUGUUCUGGCCCGGCAGGUGCGGUAGUGCCGCCCUCUGCUAGCCAGCAAACUUUGAGUGCAUGACCUGCCAUGAGCAUCACAUUUAUCAUGUUGACACCUUGCACCCCACGGAUGCUAAGAUAUAGAAGAGUCCCACACUUCAUCUUGAAUAUGUGCAUUUGGCAUUUGAGGCCAAAACUUGAAAUUCUAUUCUAUGCACAUAUUUAAGGGGAGCUCACUAUAUCAUAGGAUUCAAAAUCUUAAUGUUUAUCAAUCUCUUGUAAGCUUUAAUUGUGUUGUCAUCAAUCACCAAAAAGGGGGAGAUUGAAAGUGCAUCUAGCCCUUUGUGGGUUUUGGUGAAUUGAAUGACAACAUGAUUAAAGGUCUAAUAAGUUUGCUAAGUGUUGAACAGGGUAUUGAGUCUAUUGCACAUACUUGUGGAUUGUGUAUUAACAAGUAUGUUCAAGGAUCAACAAGCAGGCAAACUUGAUGAUAUGCCACAUAGUGUUGAAAUGAAGGCCAAAUUGUGUAUUGUUGUAUUAAAGGAUUAUGGAAACAAUCUAGGUCAAGCAAAAGACAACAAUGCAAAUAAAAUCUAUGGAAUGGCUUAUAUGCUGUGGGAUAUCAUAACAUCAUGAGAAAGCAAGCAUAUUUGACAAAUGGCAAAAGAGACAUGAGUUGAUGUUCUUGGAUUGGUGUCUACAAUGGCUUGCUUUUCAUGAACAAGAAAAGCUUGAUAGUGAACUAGGUUUGAUCAAGCUAGAAGUAUGAAGAUCAAUAUUGAAGUGAGUAUUGAGUGUCAAGCCAAAAUAGAGAGGAUAUAAGGAACUGUGAAUUGGCUUGAUCAUAUUGAUGUUGAUCCAUAUAUGUCUCUAUGUGAGUCAAACUGAAGCUUGAUUAAUCUCAAUAUUUAUAUCUAGAAGAUAUUCAAGCAAGGAUCACAAUAUUGAAGAAAUGGUUAUUCAAUGGAUGCUUAAUGUGAUAUGACUUGAGUAUGGCUUGAUAAGGUGAAGAUAGCAAGGAAAGGGCUUCGAGGGACUAAGCGGAGGUGAAGGGAUAAGCGACGGCUUAAGGACCGAGGUACCAUGGCUAAGGUGAAGAAGAGAGUACUUGCAUUGAGUCGAGGAACUAAUCAAGCUAUGAGGAGUCAUAUUGUGUUGAGGAUCAAAUCUUUAGUAGAAGUGACUUGAAGCCAUGGAGGUGAACUCAUAUGUGUUGAAUUGGGUCAAGUCACAUGCUCAAGGUGUGUUUGCUCAAGAAAAGGAGACAAAGUUGAUUGCAACCCUUUAUGGAGUAAUAUUGAGAAGAAAUGGCAUAUGAAGACAUUGAAGACUCAAGUGAUCAAAUUAGUUAUAUAUUCUCUUGUUCUUGAGUAUAGGUAUGCCGUACUAUCAAGGGGGAUGCAAUACGAAUGAUAGACAAGUCUCAAGUGCUCAAACUAACCGAACCCAAGUGCUAACAUGAGAGAAAACACUUAGCACUGCACCUGCACAAGUUGAUCUUGGAGCUUGUUCUCUGCAGGGUUAGAUAGCCCUCGAAAUAAGCUUUCCGAAAAGUCCAAGAUCACUGUAAACGGAGUUCGGAGUAAAAAGUUAUGGCUUUUUCCGUAAGGUGACCUGUGCUGCCGCACUUGUACAGUCACAACGGCUAGUUUUCGAAUCCUAACGACUAGUUUGAGUGGAAUGAGUAUAUAUACCCAUCCCACUGCUUCUGGUCGUGCUGCUGAUGCUCCAGACUUUCCCAACCUUUGCAAAGCCUCUCCCCAACCCUCUCUUUGUGGGAGUGAAGUGCUUAGUGCACAAUUAAGUGUUGGGGCUGUGUGAUUAAGUGUUAGAGAGCAUAUUAGAGCAAUCCUAACCUUGAGCACUUGCUGAGCUUCGUCGAUCUUUGUUGUGCAUUUGUUACUCUUGGAGGUAAAUCCUCCUAGACGGCUAGGCGUCGUCCGGCGAGCUCCCGUGCUUGUGGUGAGCAGCGGGACAGUUUGUAAGACUCUCUUGCAGCUAGUGAAAUCACCCCUCAUCUCAAGAGUUCAUUCUCUUGAUUUGAGAACGAGGGCAAGGCAAGCCUUGGUGGCGAGCCAAUCCUUUUGUGGAUACCUCAAUAACGUGGACUUAGGCAAGCCUUGGUGGCGAGCUGAACCACGGGAUAAACACCGUGUCAUAUUGUGCUUGUUUUACAUUCUUGCAAGUUUAUAUUGUUGUUGAGGUGCUUGUAAGGUUUGUGGCCGAUCUACUUGGUGGUACUUGUUCUGCUGCGUAUAACUACUAUUCAGUGACUAACAUACUUGCAGGAAGCUGGGAAAUUUACCUGAUCUAAAUUUCCUUGGUUGGAUUUUGAAUUGUACUAAGUUCCUCCUGCGCAGGCCGGCAGUGCCGCCCUCUAAUCUGAUAGUGUUUUGAGUUGAAACUUUGCAGAUUUGUCAUUGGAUACAUCUAGUACUUCAUCACCAAGUUUGGGCUCAUUUGGACACACGGUUGCAGGAAGGCAGUGCCGCCCUCAAAGGGAGGCAGUGCCGCCCUGAGUUUUAAUUUCAGUUUGAGCAGAAUUUUUUUGGCAGGCCUAUUCACCCCCCCCCCCUCUAGGCCUCCUCGGCGACAUCAAGGUCCUUUCAAGAACUAACCUAUUAUUCUCUCUCCUUCUUACUCAAUAAAAUAUUCUGAGUUAGCUCUUCUAGAAUUGUUGGAGCUGCCCUAAGAUGCACCUUUAUAAAAUAAUUCGACAAACAUUUUUUAGUUAUAUAUAUAUAUAUCCCUAUAUAUAUAUAUAUAUAUAUAUAUAUAUAUAUAUAUUUCAAGGAGGGAGUAUACUUAACUAAGCUAGAAAUUUAAACACCACAUGAAUUGAAAUUUAUGACUUUUCAAAAGCGCAUCUUGGUUCUAAAUGGGUUUUGGUGAAUUGAAUGAUAACACAAUUAAGGGGCUAACAUAUUUCAUGAGAUUGUAUGCAGGUGUUCAGUCCUAGGUUGAAUAUUGUGAUUGAGCUCAAAUGAAGCAAACGACACAAAUAAAAAGAAUGGAGUCCAAGGGUGAUAUAUGGAAAUGAAUGACACAUAACGGUAAAAAGAGCCAUGGAUCGAUGCAUAUCAAAUGGUCUUAUGUAUGAAGCUUAUUCAUAUUAUUUGUGGAUAUUCAAAUUUGGAUUUCAUUAUGAUCUAAAGGCAGGUAUAAUUGACGGAAGAAGAAUGACACAUGAGUGAUGGCUUAUGAGUUGGUCUCACAUGAAGGGCUUGCCAAAGUCACAAGAAUAUUGAUGGUGGAUUUCAUAGCGAUAAAGAACAAUGGUGAAAAUAAGACAUUCGAGUAAGGUUCGUUAUAUUGAAGAAAUGGAUUUUAGUGGAUGCUUAAUAUUAUUUCAAGACAUGGUGUUACACGAAGACGAAGCUAAAGUUAAAGAAGCAAUAGCUUGUUGAGGUACCAUGACCAAAGUGAAGAAGGGAGUACUUUAUUAAGCUAGAUGAACUAAUCAAGUUACGAAUGAUGUCUUGUGGAGAAUUAGAUCUUUAUUGAAUCUUGUGAUGAAGUGACUUAUGGAUGAAAACGAUAGUCUUGAUUAUCAUGUGGAUUUUUAGGGUUUAUCUUUUUUUUGCUAGCGCGUCUGAUGAUGAUCUUCAAUUAGUAAUAUUAAGAUUAGAUAAAGACAUUAGGAGUUAUUUUAACAAAGCCUAUUAUUUACUAAUUUAUUAUGAGAAAAAAUAUUUUUUUUUCGAGACCAUGCCAAACGGUGUGUUUUUCAUUAAGCAGAAAAGAGUUUGAAAUAGGCACCGACUUGGGGAAGCGGUAGUAGGGUUUAGGGUUAUUUCUUAUAGAACAAAAGAAGCUCGCUUUUCUCCGGUUGAUCUCAACAGGAUCAAGAAAUUCGGCCCGCUGCCAAUGGUACACUUGUGACAUACUCUCUCCGUUCUAAAAAGAGUGUCGUUUUAGAAUUUCAGACAUCUUAUUUGACCAUUCGUCUUAUUCAAAAUUUUUACAUAAAUAUUAUAUAUUUUGUUAAGACUUAUUUUAUCAUUAGAGAUACUUUACCCAUGAUUAAAAACGUCACUCUUUUUUUUUUUGGAACGGAGUACGACAGCCUCUCCCCUCUGCUUCUCUCGCAUCGGUCGACGGCCACUGACGGUCGGCAACGAUAAAAUCUUCUUGUGUCUGAUAAAAUAUUCCCGCGACGGAAUCACAUGCGCGAGCCCGGCCGGGCGCCAGGGUCCUGCCCGCUGCCGCCUCACCCCGCACCUCUUUUGAGGCCGCCAGCGCCAGCCGGCAGCGACGCGGCCAGGUCAUGCUCGCUCGCCGCUUUGGGCUGUCCGGCCGGCUGCGCUGCCUGCCGUGCCGUCGCCGUAGCCCGGUAGUGGCCGUGGCGUGGCGUGGCCUCGCAAACAAAGGCUGCCGCGGCGCCCGUGGCCGUGCAUGCAUGCACGCAGACGCAGACGCAGCACUGCAGCAGUGGAUGCCUGCGCAGCGCAGCCAAAACUAUUCGUCGCCGCCUUUUUUUUUUUUUUCCUUUCUCCCCUCCGCGGCUCCCACCAGCCACUGGCACGCGCGCGUAGCAGAGCAGGCAGGACGGCAGGCGACCACCAUGGCCUGCCGCCUGAUCGAGCGAGCGCGCUGACGCUGACGCUGCUGGCUCUGGCUGGCGGGCGCGUGAUCUUUGACGUCGCCAUCGGGCAUCGGGGCGGUCCAGGUCCGGCCGCGGCCCGCGGUGGACAGCUUUUGCUGUGGCCGUUCGUCACUCGCCGGGGCGCUGUCGAUCUUUGCUUGGUGCGCUCUGCCGGCUCAACCCUUCUUUAGUUCCCUGCCAAAAAAAUAAUAAUAUACUACAGCGCUGUGGCAAUUAAUAUUUAAUUAUAAAUUAAUUAAGCUUAAAAUACUCAUUUCGAAAAUUAUAGAUAAACUAUAUAAUAUAUUAUUUUUUAUCUAUAUUAAAUGUUAAAAAAAUCUUAAAAAGUUUUUAGCUUUUAGGAGCAACUAAACAAGGCCUCACUGCACUGCUGCUGCAGACGUGGGUGAAACGAAUGAGAAGACGUCGUGCGAGUGCGACCACAGCCACGUACGUAUCGAUGGCUCCGGAUACCGUAAAUGUAUGGUACAGUAUACUUUACCAUAGUCUACUAGUACGUAUAACCGUGCGGGGCGUGCUCUGUCAGAAAUAAAAACGAGCAGAAAUGGCGUGGGCGCACUGUGUUUUUUUUUUUUUGUACUGGACAGAAUCUCUGCCGUUUGUCUUGUGUUGUGCUGUGCCACCACCUCUGCCUAGUAUUCAGUGUCCUUUGCAAUCCAUCAGGCUACGACCAUGAACUUUGGAAACCCUUGCGUUGUGGUGCUUAAUUUGUGCUUCGACCAAAUUAAUUUUGGCGAAGACCUUUGCACCAUUAUUUACUUGGACACACUAGCCUCACCAAAACAUGUAGGGCAUGUUCUGUUCCCAGGAACUGAGGCCUGAAAUGAUUUUUAGCCGAUUGCUUGUCAAAUUUCUAUAAUCUUUAAUCAGCUGAAAUUAGGCGGAAGCCUUCAAAGUACAGCAUUCGAUUUGAACAUGACCGUGUACUCUGUACUCACACGGAGUUCAUUACGGAGGGGGAAACAGAACAUGCAUGCAUAUGUGAUGGAUGACAACGGCGGAGAGUAAUCAGCUAGCCUGUUCGUUUGAUCUUAUUUGUCGAAUCUAUCAACUAUUCAGUAGUGUUUUUUUUCAUAAUAAAUUAAUAAUAUUUUUAGUUAUAACUUUUUAGCCAAACAAACAAGACGGUAAAAACUUGGACGGCAAAAGUUUUGUUAUGCAUUUGAUAGUUCUAAUUUUGACACCGGGCUAUUCUUGUCCAGUUGUCAUAACCAGCUGGGGCUUUUCAGCCUCGACUUGUCUUAUACCACAGUACUCCUACUACUGUGUAACUGUAUUUGAUUACUAGUAGAAAACAGUAAACGGAAAACGCACAAAGAUUUGUUCAGUGCGUGUCAAUCCCUGCUACUGCUACGUACUAGGCCUGCCUUUGUUUCACCCCUUUUUGGGAGCAUAAUGCAGGGAGCUGCCACUCCUGCAAGAGACAAAAAGAGCACCCUACCUUGGCAACCCUAGCGGGCAGGGCAUGCUCCUCGCUUCCUCAGCUCUCUCCAAAGCGUCACCACCACCAGUCUCAUACUUUUGUCACUCGCAAGGAAUUCACCAAAAACUGCCAAACAGCUUUCCCUGAAAGCUUUGUUCUUGAGUUUCUCGCUUUGCCGGUAGAAGUAGUCAGCUCAAUUCUGCCAGUGCUAGACUUCCUUUUGAAUUAUUUUGGGUCACAAUAUUUCCUUUCGAAAAGAUAACGUGCUCUACUAUUUUUUUUUUGUGAAAUCUGCCUAGUAAUACUCCGUAUUCUGUGUGCUAACUUUGCCUUUACACGUCAACACAUUCCAACCCUUUUUUUUUCUUAUAAAAACUGUCCAUUUUAGCCUUUUUUUCUUAAGACUUGUUCUCUCUUUUAUUUUCAAUGACCUUGUUUUGACGUUUGAUCUGCCCAAACUUGCAAAAGAUAGCACCUUGCUCUGGGCCAAAGUGGGUCUUAAUUUAGCUGCCAAAGGUUUGUCCUCUGAGCAAAAGGUGUUGAACGAUCUGUGUUUGUGUUUGUUUCGCAUUCAUCUUUUUUCUAAAGAAAAAGGAGGUGUGGAGUAUGCUUCUUUUUGCUCGAAUUUCUAUGAUACGGCGAAGAGUGUGGCCAUUUGUUGAACGAGUUACACUGUUCGAAAUCAUGCUUUGGAAAAAAGCAAUAAAAAGCGUGUUUUAUACUGCACAUCAUUGUGAAAUGAGUUGAAUUUCUGAGUCGUGAUCAUGGUGCAAAUCGUUUUGGAAAGCUGGUAAUGCAAUCAAAAUUCUGAGAAUGACUGCGAGGAACAAAAAUGGAGCACUAGCGAACCAGGGGUGGCGGGGGUGUGCUUACUUUCCAAGAAAAACAAACCAACACGUGUUGCUUGAAUAAUUAGUGGUACCAUCAAAGUCCUGAAGAUUCGUAAAACAUACGAUUUGAAAAUCCACUAACAAAUAAUUAUAAGCACUUAAAUUUUAGUAUAUAUACGAUACAAUAUCUAGAAGAUAUUGAAUAUUAUAACUUAUUUACCUUCAUGAUCUUCUGAAAAGAUUUAUUAUUCUAAAGUAUAAAAUUUAUUUGUUUUGCACAACUAAUAAGUGGUCAUUAUGCAUGAAACAUAUUGCUCUUGUUUAUACUCAUACUUUAAUUCAGAGAAGAAUUAAGAGACAACUUUUUUUGAAAGAUAUAGUAUUGUAGUACUGCAUGAGUGCAUAUCAUUAAUACCUUUGGUUCUAUGCCACCGUUUGUCAUGCCUUAGACUACGGUGACGCCACAAAAUCAAGGCUCAUCUUUGGUUGAUAAAAAAACUAAAAAAAAACUGAGGCAGCCACGGUAAAAGGACAGUAAGAAGUAGCAUCGACGCCACAACCACGUCAAACUUGACGUAUCAUGCAGUGGUUGACAACCAAACAAUCUAUAAGCUCAUAUUUGGUUGGAGCCCUCAAGUACAGUAUGGAGCUGGCUCAUAUCUUGAUUGCAUCCAAAUUGUGAAGUGCUGAGUUGCUGGUCAACUUGAUGCAAGAUGUUUCAAAUUUUACAAAACCAACUUCAAUGUCGUUUAAAUUGAUUUGGAAAGUUUUCAAAAUUUCUAGAUACUUUUCUCAUUUCUAGACAAAUCUAGGAGUAAUUUGUUGAAGCAUGUAGAUAUUUCAACUCUAUUUUUUAGUUUGCUAGCCCACCAAGGCCCGCGAAGCAAGCAGUCUUCGCAGAGGUGGGCUAAAAAUUGUUGGGUGCGUUGGGCUAGCUAACUCUAAGCAGGUCGACAGGAGGCGAGGUUUGGUUGGGCCAAGUCUAAGCGGGUUGACACUUUGACAGGAGGUGUGGUUGGGCCAUCCCUGACGAGAGAGCUGAGCGCUCGUCAAAACAUUUUUUUUUUUCGAAAACGUGCGCUGGCACGUGUUGCUUUAAGGGAAAAGUGGAGUCUUAGUACAAGCACGUAAAGAAUCAUGUCGAGAUGUCAUGGGAUGACGGCCAAACACACUAACAUAAAGCACCGUCUUUAACGGUGGAGCUAAACCGAUAUACUAAGGAAAAGAACUAUUCCGCACAAAGAGAGGGGGGCUAGGAGAUUAGGUGAACGAGCGGCGAGAGGAGCCGGUAUCCCGCUGCCACCCACGAAUCCAUCUCCUCCUGGAAGCGCUUUAGAAGCAAGGAGCAUGAACGGUGGGCGCCGUCGAACGUCCUCCUGUUGCGCUCCUUCCAGAUUUCCCAGGUGACCAAAAGAACAAUAGAGUCAAAGAGCUUGCGCAAAUCGGCAUGAAUGAUACUCCUAGUCUCCAGCCACCAAUCCGCGAGAGUGUCGUCCGUGCCCGGGACGUGUUGCUGAAGGUUCGCGAUGCUCAAGAGGCGGAACCAAACCUCCCUACUGUAGACGCAAGCAAGGAGAAGGUGGUCGGAAGUCUCGUCCUCCUGUCCACAAAGCGAACAUACCGCCGUCUGCUGGAGACCAUGGCGCGCCCUUCUAGCUGCUGUCCAGAGCCGUCCAUGGAGAGCCAGCCAGAAGAAGAACUUGACUUUGGACGGCGCCUUGGUCUGCCACAGCUCCGUGGCACCCAGAAGUGUGGUCGAGCCCACAAAGAAGGCGCGGUAUGCAAAAGAGCUAGAGUACUGCCCAUCAUAGGUCCAUUUCCAAGUGAACUUGUCGGCAACGCCCGGCGUGAGGGUCACCGCACGCAGCUUAUCGUCCACCUGUACAAUCUCCAGCAUGAUCUGCUGAGUCCUGGAACCAGAAAUGUCCCGCACUCAUCGCUCACCGUCCAUCGCUGCGCGCACGGUGCGCCUCCGGUUGCGCACGCUGACCCUGUCGAAAAGUCGUGGCGCCAAUCUCGCUAGCGGUCCGUCCGGGAGCCAAGAGUCUGUCCAGAACAAGGCCAGCUCGCCGUCACCGACCUGCACAAUGACUGAGGCAUUGAACAUAGCCUCAACGCACUUCUCUGUACGACACGGGAGGAGGGCCCAAGGUGCAUGGACGUCUGAGCGUCGGAGCCACUCCCACCUUAGCCUCAACGCAAAUCCCAGGAACCUGAGAUCAGGGAGUCCAAGGCCAGCAACCUCGCGCGGGGAACAUACCACCGGCCAAGCGACACGACAGCGACCACCGGACACCUUGUCCGAACCCGCCCAUACGAACGCACGACGCCGUCUGUCGAUCUCCGAAAUAGCCCAUGGAGAGAGAGCGCAGGUGAUGGAAACGUACACGGGAAUCGCUGAUAGGGUGGUUUGGGCGAGGACGGUCCCGCCGGCCAAGGUGAGGAGGUCGCCCUUCCAUCCUGGGAUCCUGGCAGCAACGUAGUCAAGCAGAGCUUGCUCGCUGUCCCUUGACAACCGUGAGAUCGAAAGCGGCGCUCCCAAGUAUUUCAAGGGGAAGCUCUGAAGGCGGCAGGGGAACACUUGAAGCACUUCCUGAACUUGCUCGCCCGAGCAGCGGAUGGGCGUGAUGGAGCACUCCUCAACGCCCUUCUCAUUGAGGCGGACAGGCGGGGUCAGCUUCACCCUCUGCCUGGCAAUGUGAUCAAGUUCCGGACGUCAAUUUAUGCGGACGACCUUGUCAUCUUCAUCGCCCCGCACCAGCUGGAUUUCUCCUGCGUCCGGCAGAUUCUUCAGCUAUUCGCGGGGGCGUCUAGACUCUCAAAACAAUUUUGAGUCUGGGCCAGCUUGAACAACCUUUUUUUUCUUUCUUGAUUUAUGCCUUCCCUUUUCUCCUCGGGAAUCUCUAAAUAUCACUCGGAUUCUCAGUUUCUUUUUUAUGCCUGGGGUUGUUCUAGGACUGGUAGUUUAUAAUUUGGACGAAUUGGUGAAGUCUGUUUGUUCUUUGUUAUGGGGUUGUCAUGUAUUUGUUUUCUUGUAGUCGGCCCAAUAUAUUAUUGCGUCCACUUUAUUCACCCUAUUUUGGCCUAUUUUGGCCUUGUUUACUUCCCAAAAAAUUUUGCAAAAUUUUUCAGAUUCCCCGUCACAUCAAAUCUUUAGACGCAUGCAUAAAAUAUUAAAUAUAGAUGAAAAUAAAAACUAAUUGCACAGUUUGAUCGAAAUUAACGAGACGAAUCUUUUGAGUCUAGUUAGUAUAUAAUUAGAUAAUAUUUAUCAAAUACAAACGAAAGUAUCACUAUUUUUAUUUUGUAAAAAUUUUUAGAAGUAAACAACCUGGUGACGACGGUUUUGGCGCGUGGCGGCGGAGCAGCGCGCUGGGAUCUCCCCGUUUCGUGAUGUGCGCGCCACGUGAGUGAACAGAAAACGACAAAGGAUCACGAAGGCCAAAGCCCAAAAGCGAAAAGCAAAGCCCACUCCCGCAAAGUGGAGAUCCCGUAUGCGCGACGCGACCCUCGCGGCCGCCUUCGUGCAGUCUUCGGAUGAACCCACGCUGCCAGUGGGUCCGUCGGAGCACUUGGACCCGCAUGCCGUCUCACCAGCGUCUCGCUCCACGCCGUCGUCCGCCACUCCAGGCUCCGGCUCCGAUGAAAACGGUACGGAUAUUUUCCGACCGUAUUCGAGACCGAAUUCGUUUAGAGAGAUUUAGAUCUGUCCGUAUCCGAGUCCGAAUAUUUAACAUCCGAUACCGUAUCCGUAUCCGAAUAUUUAAAUUGUAUAUUUAGAGAGGAUAUAUAUCUUAUCCGAUAUGAUUGACAUUAUCCGUAUUCGAAUCCGAAUUCGACCAGAAAUAUAAAAACAAAUAUGAUAUCCGUUCAUAUCAGCUCCCUUUUCAUUCCUACCCCUCCCCACUCGCCGCCGGCCGGCCGCGCGCUACGGCACUAGUGCGAUUACCUUUUGGGAUGUGGAUCACGGAAAAGCAACGUCACAAUUUGGCGACCUUUCUCAUUGAUGAGUACAGUAAAGUAGUACUAGUAUACUAGUAUCUCCCGGCACCACUCCACACGUGACGAGACGGCGCCAGCGCCAGCGCCGGCGCCACGCGCAUCGCACCACUCUCCUUCCCAGUUCCCAGUCUCCGCCCCGCUCGCCACCCGCCCGCCUGCCUCGGAAUCGACGCCGCCGGCCCAUGCUCGUGAAUCCUACGUCGGGCGCGCGCGGCGGCUUCGGUGUUCCUCCGCGCUGUCCUGUUCCCGCCUCCCUCCAUGGAUUUCGUCUGCCCCGGCGAUCCCGCGGUGCGAUUCCUAAAACCCCGCCAAACCCCUACUUAGUUUUUUUUUCUUUAAUUUACCCUGGGCGUCGCGUCGGACGCUGGGGGUUUUGUUUUGAAUACUAUCGAUCGCGAUGUGGUGGUGCUAACCCGCGAGGGUUCUGGGCGGCGAUCUCUCGGUGGUGCAGGUUUGGGACGACGACGGGGGGCAUUUCGGGCCGUGCUUCGCGGAUUUAUAUCCUUUGCCUUUUGAUUUUGAUCUCCAGUGGGUUGCAGUUCUGAGGUUUUUUGUUGUUCUCGAGUUUGGUUUCCUGUUGGUGUUGUUCUGAUGUCUCCUUAACACUUUUGUCGCGGCUGUACGGUGCUGGGGUUCGCCGGGAAUGCGAUCGCCACGGCUGCUGCGCUCGGGCUCUUCCUCGCCAAGAGGAACACAUCCAGAGCUCAGGUACGACGUACUUGAUUUUGCUCUGCAUCAUCUACUGCUUCUCCUUUUCAUAAGUAACUAGUAGUAAGCGAUCAAUUUUGCGAUUAUUUCGAGGAGCAUUUUUGGCUGUCUACAUUCAGGCUACGUUGAGGUCCAACUUAUGCUAUCACUAUCAAAUGCAUAUGAUGAUACAGAGCAAGUAUGUUUAGUGCCGUUUGCAUUUGUUUCAGCUGUUACAGAGUCACAGGACUAACAAUUUACUGUGGUGUGGACAGCCGAGAUACAUUUUCUUCUUGCUAUCUGCAUACUUUGACCCUGAUGUGACUCACAAAUCACAAUAAUAACGGAGAUAGUUCCCUUUUCUGCUUCAGACGUACUCCCUCCGUCCCCCCCACCCCCACCACUCAAAAAAAAAUUAUGAGAUUUGUGACGGUCAAACUAGUUUAAGUUUAGCCAAGUUUAUAAUGAAUAGUGUUUUCAUUUAUGUCUCUAGUUCUAUGAAAAUAUAUUUCAUAAUUAAUCUAAUAAUACUUAUUUCGUAUCACAAAUACUAAUACUUUUUUAAUAUAACUUUAGUCAAAAUUCAAAUUCUUUGAGUCCUUGAAAACCAAGAAUUGCAUUUUUUUGAACGGAGGGAGUAUGUAAUUGCUUAUAGAGGGGUAAAAAUAAGGGUGGCGUCUACUAUACUGCUGCUAUUUUUGAAUUAUGAUAAUUCCUUUUCGUGUUUACAUUCUAUGCCUACAAAGCAAUAUAUUGCUGUUAAUGUAUUAGGCCUCAUUCAAGUGCCUGUGAUGCUCCCGAUAUAGCAUUAUAUAUUUCAUAUGUUUCCUUUUGUGGUAGACCAUUUGGAGUAUUCAACGCUUGCACUAAUGAUUUAGUCCUAAGUAAUUGUAGGGUUAGCACCUUCAUUUACUUAUGAAUAAGUUGAUAAUGGAAACUGGAUCAAGAUUUUAGAAAUUUGGUGGUCAUACCAAUACUAGGAGAAUUCAAGCAGCUGGCAGCAUAAUAUACCACCUAGUACUACAUAAUGAUAUUAUAUGUUCCAAGUACUUAAUGAAACAAGAUAACUUGACACAAGGCGAACCGUAAAAAUAACAAAUUACAUUUUAACACCAUAUAAAAGCAAUGCCCGAGGAGAGUGGCUCAGAUUACAUUUAAUGGCUGUUACCUGAUAAGUGUCUUAUGUAAUUUAUGUUCAUCAUUAUUUCUACCUUGCUAUGUGUAAUAAUAGUUCUUCUACUUUAGAACGUCAGGAGAGGUUUAUUGGAGAAGUUGUUUGCAUUCGGUGUGCCUGGUUUUUCAGCCUGUCUUUCUUUGGUUGGAUUAACUGUGCUAGCUAAGAAGAAAUUUGAAGGGAAGUAUGUUGAGAAUUAUGAACUAUUCUUCACAUGCUCCCAGUUUAUUGCAUGGGUAAGAACUCUGUUAUCAUAAUGAUCAUGUUUCUCUUCUGAGUCAUAUAAAUGUUUGAACAAAUGUCCUUACAGUUGGUGCUAAACAUUUCUUUUGAUAGAUGUCUGUAAGUCUUGUCUGUGUCAGUGGGGCUUGGUUUGAAAUCCUAUAUAACCCAAUAAUGUGCUUCUGCUGGAUCUUGAAGAUUAUUCUAGAGAUACCUCAUUUGCAGUACAAGCUUACAUUACUAAAGGUAUCCCAUUAUUUUACAAAACGAUUUACUUUAUCUUCGACACGUUAAUAAAGCUGUGGAAGACUUCUAUAAAAUUCUGAUGUUUUAUUAUGACUGAAAUAAAAUAUAUUUCUUUAAACUUCUAUUCUAAGCUUUCUUUAAUCAAUAGGCAAUGACAUCUUUUAUGGAGAUUAUCUCUUUUUGUACUGCAACCACAUUUGGACUCUUUGUUAUUCUGGCUGCUGUAGUAGGCCAAUCAGGCAACAAAAGGUACAUGAUUCCAUAAUUUGCCUACGUUUCUGAAUUUUUUUUUAUUUUCAUUGUCUAAGAUCUUGUGAACUAUUUUCACUUCCCUUUUUUAUUUAGCAACUAGUACAUACUGUUUCAUUUCGUUGUCAUUGUCCUAAAAGUAAUGUGCAAUUGUUCACUCUUUCAGAGAAGUGAACUCUAUUGAAGCCCCACUCAUUCUAAAUGAUGAAAAAUCUGAGGGUGAAAUUACAAACACGGUAUGUGAUUUCAGUAAUAAGCCAUUGGUUUUCUAUUGUACAUUCAGGAUGGUGCAAUUUCAGUCUAUGACCUGUGUAAGAAGUUUUACAUUAGUUAUGAUAUUGCUGUGAUAAUCUCGUCUUAUGCAUGUUUUUCUUCUUGAACAUGCAUGAGAAGUGGGUAUCAUUAUAUUAAGUAGAGGUCAUCAAUGCAUGCCAUAAAGUUGCUAUUAGCUUGCAGUUUGAAUACAUGGUCUUGUAAUACAUUGUAAAUUUCUGUGUAUGAACAACUAUAUUACCCGCAAAAUUUACAGGAUCUGUGCUAACUGCUGCAUGCUGACAUGCAUUGACUUCCUUAUUGUUCACUAUUUGGAGUUGAUCAUCGAUAUUUGGAUCCUGUCCAAUCCUUCUUAUUUGUUUUCCAUCACCAAAAUGUAAUUGUGACUUCUUCCCUUAAUGUUAUCUUUUUCAGAUAAAGGACUACAAUUUGUGGGAACUGUUGACUUUCAAAUUCGUUAAUCCAGUGAUGGACAUUGGUAUCACAAGACAACUUGACUUCACAGAUUUACUUGAGUUACCAACUGAGCUUAGAGCUACCUCCUGUUAUGACAAACUUAUGUCUUCCUGGACUGUUGAAUAUCAAAACCACCGUGACAACUCAUCUCUACUUAGAGCCAUGUCUUAUUCUUAUGGAUGGACGUACUUGCGUUUGGGCCUUCUUAAGGUAUCCUUUUCUUUUCUUUUCUUUUCUUUUCUUUUCUUUGAGGUAGUUGAAUUGAGUAAAAGGAUGUUGCUAAAUGUCAACUCUGGGAUUCAUGGCAUAUAAAAGUUGGCAUCCUUUUGUUCUCACCUCUUUUACGGCAAUUAGAAAUAUAUCCUUUUUUUGCAAGGAACAAUUAAUAUAUCCUACAAUGAGUAGAUUACACAAGUGACCUGAAACAUAUUAUUAUAGUAUUACCUGAAAUUCCAUGAACGGCAACAUGGGAUUAAUUAUCUUAGAAUAACAAACCCUUUCAUGUUAUUACCCUUAUUUCAAAGUCAAGCAUUCUUAAAUUGAAGUUCACAAUGAUUGCCUUUAGGUUCCUAACAUUCUAUUCAUGCAGGUAUUAAAUGACAGCAUCAAUUUUGUUAGCCCUCUGUUGCUGAACAAGUUUAUAAGACUUCUUCAGGAAGGUAUUAAUUCCUCAAGAAUAGAAGACUCGUCAUUAAAAGUUCUCCCAAGCAAAUAGAUACUCUGUUCAUUCUUGGCACUUGAAGCAAUAUUCUAUUUGGGAGCAAAAGACUAACAAUAGACGUUCUUACAUGCCUCUUUUCAGUAAUUUAUAGGAUUCUUGUGUCGCUCAUUUAGAAAUUUUGUGUAACAUAUGGACAUUCAUAGUUAAAAAUAUAUAGGCAUUCUUAUAUAAAUAGAAGUGCAUGCAAAUACUGCUACUUAUCUGGUCAAAUCCAUCCGAUUCGGAAAUUGUGAUUCGAUUUUUUUUCAGAACCCUAAUAAACUAAUGUACAUCUUUCUGUUGGUUUCUGCACGACUUUUCAGGUUCUGAUGGCAUGGAUGGAUAUAUUCUUGCCAUUUCCUUAGGAUUGACUUCUAUUAUCAAGUAAACCAUCCUUACUAUAUGAUUUGCACUUUAGCACUUCCAUUGAAGUGUUUCUGAUUUCUUUUAUACUCAAACCUUUGAUAAUGAUGAAUACAUCUCUUUUCUGUGUCAUUUAUUUUUUUGGACGUUUAACAGACUAGGCACUUGACAAUUCUCAACCUAUAUACUGGAACUAUAAGUUACAUUAUGGGUGUUAAACUGGUGUUCUCAUGUUAAGGCUGCAUCACUGCGGCUGUACCAUGUUCUACAUUCGUACUAGUGUUACUGUUACAUGUUCAUGUGGUUUCAAGUUGCAACCUAUCUACUUUCCUCCACAUGUGGAGCAGAUAAUGCACUUAGUCAUACCAACAGUUGAAUUUGAUGAUAAUGAAGAUGAAUUUAGCAAUUACAUCUCUGAGGACCUUGUUGUAUUAUGGGUGUUAUAUUUUCUUGUUAUAAUAUAUUGUCAUUCAAAAUACUGAAACAGAAUACCAUAUUAGUGGACCUUUGCCUGUCGAAAGAGAAUUACCUUGGUGGUUCCUUGGAUUAUAUGUUCUUAGUUCUUAGUAUUAACUAGCAUUUUUUUGUUUACACUUUUGUAUGCUAGGUCCUUUUUAGAUAGCCAGUACUCCUUUCGUCUAGCAAAGCUCAAGUUGACAUUACGAUCAAGCAUCAUGGGGAUAAUUUAUCGGAAGGUAUUAUAAUUCCUCUCAUGCCCUGUUUUUUUAGAGAGUAAUUCAAACAUGUGUUGGUUAGCUAUUAUCCAUAGCAAUGUAUUCACGAGGACAAUUCAGACUUUCCAUUACAAAUUAUUCAAAUUGACACCUAGGAGGUGGAAUGUACUCCGAACUGCCACUGGAACUUAGUUGUUGUAUAUUAGUUCAUAUGCUGUUUAUUCCCAUACAGAUUUAUUCAGACAAUCAAUGGUCUGAUUUACUUGAAUCUACAAUUGCUUCGCAAAUUACUCCCUCUGUCCUGGUAUAUAAGGCGUAACCACCUCUGGUUCAAAGACCAAGAACGGAUUUAAUUCUCUCUCACAGCACUAGUAGUACUGCAUUUAUGUUUGUGAGAGAGCAUGCCUUAUAUUAUGGGACAGGAGCAAAAAGUGGUUACACCUUAUAUACUAGGACGGAUGGAGUAUAUGUUAUAAUUGAUAAAAUGCAAUCAUGUGAAAGUACUUUUAAUAAAAUAUCUUGUCAACAACAUUUCUAUUUGAAAAGUUCAAUUAAUUUUUUAUACGAUAGCUAACAAUGUUUUGUAUUUUUCAAAACAAUUGAAUGCAUGUUCAAGGAAAAAUGUAUUUGGAACAGUACUUGCUAAUUUGAUAUAGCGUAGAACUUCUACUGGGUAUUCUAUAUAGCUUCUGCGGAAGCUCGUUUUGAUCUACCAAUUUGACAUUGUAUUAUGUCACAAAUUCAAUUUUGAAGCAUGUUAUAACUUUACUUGACUUUUAUUUGUUGUUUUUUUUUAAAAAAAAUUGGAUGGAUCUUUCUUUAAAAAACAGUGCCUAUGUCUCAGUAUAGCUGAGCGUUCUAGGUUUUCUGAAGGUGAGAUACAGACCUUCAUGUCUGUUGAUGCUGACCGCACAAUAAACUUGUGUAACAGCCUUCAUGAUGCCUGGAGGUACUUUGCAUCUCAAUCUCACAUUUUUGUGUAUGAAAAACUUAGAUUACUAUAUGUAUGCACAUGACUCCACUAUCUAAUUCUUUGCAUGAUUUGGUGUUUAUCUAGCUUGCCACUGCAGAUUGGAGUUGCUCUUUAUCUUUUAUAUACACAAGUCAAUUAUGCUUUUCUAUCUGGGCUUGCAAUAACAAUCAUACUAAUACCAGGUAUGCUUACCUUUUGCUUCCUUUUUCUGUAUUAAGCUUCUUAGUGAUUCAAAGAUUUGCAGCCAUGCAUGACCUUUUCCCCUUGCAAAAAAUGGAUUGUGAAUUCUAUCAUCUCUUGGUUUGCCCUUAUUGUCUUGUGAAUAUUGAUCUAUUGACCAAGGCAUGCUUCUAUACUAGUCCAAAUACAAGGCAUGCCAUGCUUCUAUACUAGUCCAAAUACAAAUAGAUGUAUGUUAUAAGAACCUGAUGGUGCUAGGGACUGAGAUUUUAGUGGGUAAUGCUAACCCAUCUUUAUAAUCUAAUCAUAACUUUCCUCGAAUUAAAAUUUCCUCUCAUAGUUUUUACUUUUAUAACCAUGUCAGACUAUUUUUCUUGUAACCAUGUACACGUGCACAGUGAACAAAUGGAUUUCCACAAGGAUUGCUGGUGCAACAGAAAAGAUGAUGAAGCAAAAAGACAGGAGGUAAGAAAACUCUUAUCACCGAGGUGCUUUCUCAAACACCAUUACAUUAUACCUCAGCUUCACUGGCAUAUACUGUUGAUUUGUUUUGGAUCAUGAGCCAGGAGGAAUCAUGCAAAAGUUUGCUAGUCAACACAAUAAUUAUAGAACUUAAUACUCCAAAAUUUAUCCAUGAAUAGGAUAAGCUGUGCAGGGGAGCUCUUAGCACAUAUUAGAACAGUGAAGAUGUACAGCUGGGAGAAACUAUUCACUGAACGUUUGGUGGAAAGAAGAGAAUCAGAAGUGAAGCAUCUCGCGGUGUGCAACUGCUCAUGAUUAAUCUACAUUUUAUAAUAAGUUGCACAUCUUGCACUGGAACUAACAAGGGCCUCCUGUUUCCCAAUAGACUAGAAAAUAUUUGGAUGCUUGGUGCGUCUAUUUCUGGGCAACCACACCGACAUUGUUCUCCCUUUUCACCUUUUCUAUAUUUGCAAUAAUGGGACACACAUUGGAUGCUGCCACGGUAAAACAAUACCAUGAAUGAUAUGCCUUUGGACCAAGAAAUUUCCUACUAAUAUCUGGAAUCCUUAUUACAGGUAUUUACUUGUGUUGCACUCUUUAAUACACUAAUAUCACCGUUAAACUCAUUUCCAUGGGUUAUCAAUGGGAUGAUUGAUGUAAGUGGAUAAUUGGUUUAUACCAUUAUACUGUUACAUACAUUUGCAGCUGCACUAACAUUCCAUGCUUUGGUUGCUGCAGGCUGUUAUCUCUAGCAGACGGCUGAGUAAUUAUUUAUCUACUCCAGAGCAUCACUCAUCCAAGUUAACUACCUCUGCUGACCUUUUAAAUCACCACUUUAAGAGAUAUACCGAAGUGACUCAUAAUCCAAUGGCCAUCGUCCUUCAGAAUGUAUCCUGUUCUUGGUCUAGCAGCUCUGUUGCUGAGCCGAGCAUAGUUCUCAGAGAUAUAUCUUUGCAGCUACAAAAAGGGCUCUUUAUUGCAAUCGUAGGCGAGGUAAUUAUUCUGACUGUCACAUUUCGUUUUUGUACUAAGGUGUUGUGGGAUGGUUAUGUGGUGGCGGUAUACAAUUUCGUUAAUGGUUUGGUAGGGAAACUGAAUAGCAUGUGCAUACUAUUUGGCAUAUUAUAUUAUAUCUCAAUUUGCCAUUACUUGCAAAGAAAUGCCACAAGAUGUCCAGAUUUUUUUUUAAUAGUCGUCUAAUCUGAUGCUCUUGCUAUUUUUCUCUGAAUUGAGGAAAUGUUAUGUCUUAUAUCAGGUUGGUUCUGGUAAAUCAUCUUUGUUGAACACAGUCAUUGGAGAGACUCAUGUCAUCAGUGGUUCUAUUAGCUCCUGUGAUUCAAUUGCCUAUGUACCACAGGUAGCACUUUAUGACCUGGAAAUUGCUUAAGAUUUGCAUUUGAAAUGUCUGGAGACUAAAAAUGGAACUGGUGUUCUAUAGGUACCAUGGAUCUUAUCUGGCACUUUACGAGAUAAUAUUUUGCUUGGGAAAGAGUUUGAUCCGAGGAGGUAGUUUAUUCGUCUCUGACAGAUAUUAUCACAAGUUUGUUUCGUUAUGUCAUUGCAUGACAUUAGAGCAGCUAACAUAAACCAUUGGAGAUGCUCAUACACCAUAGAAUUUAUUGCUUCCCUUUUAAUUAGUAUUCUGCAUCACAAACUUAAUGCAGAUAUGAAGAAGUAAUAGAGGCAUGUGCACUUCGUGUUGACAUAUCGGCAAUGGCCAGAGGAGAUAUGUCACAUAUUGGAGAGAAAGGUACCAACUUAUCUGGUGGACAAAGAGCUCGUCUGGCAUUGGCAAGGUCAUGUUUUUGACAACUUUGUGGACUUUUAUCCUUCUUAAGCUCGCUAGCUAACAUUAUGAUCAUACACUUGCAGGGCUUUGUACCACAAUUCUGAUGUUUACUUGUUUGAUGACAUCCUUAGUGCGGUUGACUCCCAAGUUGCUUCGUGGAUCCUGGAAAAGGCUGUUAUGGGGCACCAACUAAUGCAGAAAAAAACAAGAUUAUUAAGCACACACAAUCUUCAGGUAAUAUUCAUUGGACCUUAUCCAAACGAACUCUGCCACAUUGGUAUUAAAUGUAUAGAAUCAUAUUUAAGGUUAUAUCUCAUACUCCGUCCCAAAUUAUAAGUCAUUCCAAGAAUCUUGGAGAGUCAAAAUUUUUCAAGUUUGACCAAAUUUAUAUAGCAAAAUAAUAACAUUUUUUGUACCAACUAAGUAUCAUUAGAUUCUUUGUUAGUUAUAUUUUCAUAGUGUACCUAUUUUAUGACAUAAAUCUUUAUAUUUCUCUAUAUAUUUUUGGUCAAACUUGAAAAUGAUUUGACUCUCCAAGAUUCUUGGAAUGACUUAUAAUUUGGAACAGAGGGAGUACUAGAUACUAGGCUGUAUGCAUGGAAUAAGAUAAGCCACGUGAUGCUGAAAGAACAAUGUAAUUUUCCUUUUGUUUCUUCCCGUUUCCCAGGCUAUUUCAGCUGCAGAUAUGAUUGUAGUCAUGGCUAAUGGGCUCAUUAAGUGGUUCGGGACACCGCAAUCUUUCUUGGCAACUCCAUAUUCAAGAAUCUCUAAGCCAGAUAAUUCGAGUCCUACUUCAUUUGCAGCUUCUUUGAAAGAUAAAACACCAAUGGUAACAUGUGAACUGAAAACUGAUGUUAUACUUGAAGAUUCAGCGGUUUCUUAUGAGGAGACAAAAGAUCAGAUAGAAGAAGAGGCAAGGAAGCAAGGCAAGGUUGAGCUCGGUGUCUACAAGUGAGUUAUUCUGUGAACUGGAGUGUGCUAUACAAUAGAAUGAUAAAAAUAUUUCAGUCUUGUGUGAUCUAUUACUCAUAAUGGUUCUUUUUUUUUACAGAAAAUAUGCAGCAUUUGCGGGGUGGUCAGCUGUUGUUUUAAUAUUCCUAAGUGCAUUCAUAAUGCAAGCAUCUCGUAACAGCAAUGAUCUUUGGUUAACUUACUGGGUUGAUACGAGCACAGGCACCAACAACACAAAAUUUUAUCUGGUAGGAGUACUUUCUACUAAGUGAACAUGAACCAUAAUAAUCAAUAUGUUGAAUUUGGUGUUCGGUUGUUCACAAAAGAAACAUUUUCAGCACAUUUAUGCUCAUUCAAAAACUUCUGUGCAGAUUAUCCUUGCUAUGUUUGGCAUCAUCAAUUCUCUUUUCACUUUGGGAAGGGCAUUUUCUUUUGCAUUCGGUGGCCUCCGUGCAGCAAUCCAUAUUCAUGCAUCUCUUCUUGAAAACAUCAUCAGUGCUCCGAUUUGUUUCUUUGACCAAAAUCCCAGUGGUCGGAUCCUAAACAGGUUUGGUAUCUUAUUCAUCAGAUCACCUCUAGUUCUUAAUAAGCUUGGAAAGGUUGAAAUGCCCCUUCUUGACCACGCUUUACCAACUUUCAGAUUAUCAUCAGACCUCUACACCGUUGAUGAUUCUCUUCCUUUCAUCAUCAAUAUAUUUGUGGCCAACUUCUUCAGCUUACUGGGCACUCUGGUUGUUUUGUCUUAUUCACAGGUAAAUUAUGUAAACAAUAGUUUAGGGCCAGCCUUGUACUUCAGAAAAGAAACUAAACGAUGUUUCUUGUAUUUCAUGAAUGUUUGGUCUGCAGGUUUCCUUCUUACUUAUCUUACUUCCACUCUGGCUUAUAUAUAGGAAGCUGCAGGUAUCAAUUUCACUCAUCUAUUUCUGAAUUGAUGCUUAACUCAUUUAUCUGAGUCUUUAUAGCAUAGAUAUAUAAAAUCCAUACUUUAAUACAGCAGUCUGUAACAGUGAAUCCUCUUUUUCUCUUAGUUAACACAAUGCAUCACGGUAUUAUAUCUAUGCUGUACCUUAUGGAGAUAGAAACUAAUGCUUUGUACAGUUCUAUUACAGGUCUACAUCACGUGAAGUACGGCGACUUGAUAGCGUUGCUCGUUCACCAAUCUAUUCAUCUUUCACAGAGACACUUGAUGGUUCAUCAACAAUAAGAGCUUUCCAGAAUGAAGUAUGUUUCUUUUUUCUUCCCAGGACAGAAGGAAGCAUUCUAGUUGCAUUUAGACAAAUUCAGAAGGAUGUUAAACGUCAUAACUUUCCUUUUGAACUCAAAAGCAUCACAUAUCAAAGGCCCGAGUGCUAGUGCUCGUGUGGUUUGUUCAAGAUACUGACAGUACACUACACAGGGGUUCUUCUUGGAACGAUUCAUCCAACAUGUGACACUAUAUCAGAAAACAUCCUACUCUGAGCUCAUUGCUAGUUUGUGGCUCUCGUUGAGACUCCAGGUACAUAUUUUUUUUGUCCUGCUAUAAUAAAAUCAUCAUGUACAUGGAAUUAGUUACUUUUAUCCAUCAGUAAGGCCAAUCAGGCACUGCAGUGAUGAGCAAACUGUUCAGUUGUUAGCAGGUUUUAUCAUUCUGUUUAUCGCCAUGAUGGCCACUAUCAGCUUCCAUAGCAGUUCUCUUGUCAACUUUGCAACACCUGGACUGGUAGGUUUUAUUGGACACAAUUGCUGACCUUGUACUUACAUUUCCAUCUCGAUGGAAAUUGUAAAUAUAGUCCUGUUCAAAGUACUAGAUAUUAAUCAUAUUAAAACAUCUACUGCAGGUGGGCCUGGCUUUAUCAUAUGCAGCACCUGUAGUAUCAUUGCUGAAUGGCUUCUUAACCACCUUUACAGAGACAGAAAAGGAAAUGAUCUCCGUGGAAAGGGUUGACGAGGUAACACGAAGAAUCACUUCUAUCCUUAUCCAUCAAGCAUCUCUCUCACUUUAAUAGUUUGAUGAUGCUUGCAGUAUAUUGGCAUACCUCAAGAAGAACUCCAGGGAUCAGAACCUCUACCGAGAAGCUGGCCAACAAAAGGGAAGAUUGAGUUUGAACAUGUAACACUGAAGUACAAGUCAGAGCUGCCACCUGCUUUAAGUGAUGUUUCGUUCCUUAUUGCAUCAGGCAUGCAGGUAAGAUGCUUCCAAGACUUCCACUGAAUCAUUUUGAUUUGCGAAGCUAUCCUAAAAUCUGCUCUGGCUUUUAGGUUGGAAUAAUAGGAAGGACUGGAGCAGGCAAAUCAAGUAUACUGAAUGCACUUUUCCGCUUAGUUCCAAUUUGCAAUGGCCGCAUCUUAGUAGAUGGCAUUGAUUUGGCUAAAGUUGCCGUCCGAGAACUCCGUGGACAUUUUGCAGUAGUCCCACAAAGCCCCUUUUUGUUUGAUGGGUCUUUGAGGUAACUACUGAGUACUGAGUGCUCUUUUUCACAGUUUUCAGGCUGGCUUUUCAUUGUUUCCAUGCUGAUGACUAUUUUCAUGCUUGCACUGAUUAGAGAAUAAACAAACAUUAAUUUUCAACAUUCAAUAUUUUAAUCGUGAAUAUACAUGGCAGGGAAAACCUGGAUCCUUUCAAUACAACAACAGAUCUCAGGAUAUGGGAAGUUCUUGAAAACUGCCAUAUGAAAGGAGAGGUAGAAUCAAUAGGUGGACUUGACAUCCAUGUGAAAGAAAGCGGUGCAUCUUUUUCAGUAGGGCAGCGACAGCUCCUAUGCCUUGCCCGUGCCAUCCUAAAAUCGUCCAAGGUAUGGACUACCAUAUAAUUGCAGUAUUGCUUAUAGCAGAUACACUACUGUGUAAAAGCCUAAUCAAACCCAUCUGAUUAAUUCUAUCAGUUUUCAUGGUGAGUUAAAAAUCUCAGUCAGAGAUGAUCAAAUAAGUGAUGCAUGCAAUUGUUAAUGAUUCUGCAGGUGCUUUGUCUAGAUGAAUGCACAGCCAAUGUUGACAACCAAACAGCCUUCCUGUUGCAAAGUACUAUUUCUUCUGAAUGCAAAGGGAUGACUGUUCUCACCAUAGCACAUCGUAUUUCAACAGUGAUGCAGAUGGACAAUAUUCUAGUUCUUGACCAAGGAAAACUGGUAAGUUGUGAUACCAGGAUUGAUAUUUUGAAGGACCAUUGCAAACCCAAAGAGGAAUAUGGGAAUGAACUCAAAACAUAUGUACCAAAAUAACAUUUAACAAGAAUGAUAUAGCAUAACAGUACAAAUGAUAAUGACAAUGCCACAUGUGAUGAAAAUUGCUGUUAAAAACACUACAUAAAUAAAACAGGUCUUAAAUCAAGUGACAAACUAAAAUGGAUCAACGUUUUUAAUUCCUAUGGUAAAUGACAGACCUCCAGGUCAUGAGUAUGCUUUUUUUCAAAUGCCCUGUUAUCCAAUUAAUGCAGGAUAGUAUCUAACUCUAUAUACCACUCCACUUUAGGUUGAAGAAGGAAACCCAGAAGCCCUUAUGAAUCACAGAUUCUCAAGAUUCGCUCAGUAUGCCAAGGCAUCUCAGAUGUGAUUAUGGUAGCAUGGUUUCCUACUAUAUUAUGCUAGACCUUUUUACCUUUUUUAGAGUUAGAACUUACUUCCUAGACAUUAGACAAUAUUUACCACCGACCAAUGAGCCUGUAAGAACAGCUCCAAAAUGACACCACUAGCUAAUGGCUAAAAGAGGCUCUGAUCCUCUCUAUUAGAAUCAUUGAAUAUAUGAUGAUUCCCUAGCUGUUAAAAUUGCAUGCUCUGCGGAAAAUGGAUCACAAAACUUGUUUCUAAACAACUGCUGUUCAUGGAAACCUUACUUUCAUUGAUUGCUUUUCAGUUCUCAUGGUUGUUCUGUUUUCGUAAGGGGUAGCUAUUUUCACUUCUAGUGGCAUGGUGCUUGAUUGCUCACUACAAGUGAGGCACCGCCAGGAUAGAUUGACAUACAAAGCACUAAGCUGCCUCGAAUUGAUCUCAACUGACAAUGAGGGAAAAUGCGAGGGAUUAAUAACCAUCUGCAGUUUCAUUCACGAGCACAACUGAUCGUGGUAGCGAAGUAACCCCAAUUAACUGCACAGAUCCCAUGACACAAGAUCUUUAUGAAAUGAAUUCGUCCAGAUUGUCAGAUUGGACACACGAAUUUACAGUUUACAGACGGGCACAUGACGGAUUUAGUCUACUAACCCAACAAAGAGAUGCACACAGCACAGCGGACGGAGGUAGCAGCGGAGGCACGGGGAUCUCUCCGUCCGUCGGUCAGGCGACGUAGACGUAGUCGUCGUCGGGGUCGCGGUGGCGGUGGGGGUCGACGGAGCAGAUGACGUAGACGGCGUAGAGGACGCCGGGGAGGUAGCCGAGGAUGGUGAGCAGCACGCUGAUCCAGAACUCCAGCUGCCGGGAAACGCAAACGGGCUGUAAGGGCAGGGCAGGAAGGGAUAAGGAAGAGGAGGGAGGAGCGGGACUCACGG